rnacentral:lncRNA from 1 species
CUGACAACUGAUUUUGUUUGUAAAAGUCUGCUUCUUCAUACAUAUGAAUGCAUAUGUUAGUGUUUUCUUCUCCUUUUCAUACAUAUAAAUGCAUAUGUUAGUGUUGUCUUUUCCUUUUCAUACAUAUUAAUACAUAUGUUGGUGUUCUCUCCUGAGAUGGAUGCAAUAAAGGCUUUUGCUCCUAAAUUUAGCUGAAGAAAUGGCAAGGGAUGUGAGAUUCUGUCUCUUUAAAUUAAAAAAAACCCAAAACAAUGAAAAUCCAUAAUAAUGUGGUGUGGAUAAAUUGGCUCCAUUUGGUUCGUUUCCUUAAUGUGAAUGCGCGAGCAAUAGAGACUAACAAAAUGAAGUGACAACAAGAAGUCAGUGUCCUUUGAUGGAUGCAUUUUUAGGCAGAAAUAUGUUUGUAAUUGACCAAAUUUGUCUGGCAUGCCAAUUUCAAAAAAAUUAAAUUAUGUGGUUAUUAGCGGUAAUGAAGGGGGAUAGUAGGUGCAAUCAGGUGGAUCCAGGAAAGUUCAACAAAGUUUUGGUAUGGCGUAGUGAAAUUGGUUUGUGCAACUCAGGAGUCUUUCAGGUGAACGAUGAUAGGUUUUGAUUUAUGAAUAUUAUAAAUAUACUGUGCAUAGUAUUCUAGUAGAAUCAUCUAUAAGUUCUAGUUAUUGAAAUUGUAUACUUUGCCCGGUUUGAGUUAAGGGCACAUGUAAUAUGAAAGAUAGUUGUCGCAUCUUUUAGGUUACCUAACAUUUGAUCAAUCCUAUUAUGGGGGCUUCAAGAUGUCUAACAAUAUGUAGAAUGCCCAUGCUCCUACCCAUUGUUUAUCUUCUACAAUAAUUUGUUUUAGAUGCUAAUAUCUUUGUCGAUACCGGUAACAAUAUUACAAUAUCAGCGUUUAUUGGGUUUUACAUAGGUUCGACUGGUUGACAGUACACACUAUCUGAAGGCAUUUGCAAUUGGAGAUGUAUGGGUUGCUGUUGGGUGGAUCAGUGAUGUUCUUCCUGCUGUCAAACAUAUGUCUAAUGUUGCUGUGUUGUUCCCAAGUCUGGUGCUAGCUGCCUGCCAUUCUACUUCGAUAUUCACAUUGUUAUCUCCUUCAUAUUAGCGAUCAGUAAACACGAUAAUGUGACUAAUAAGUUCGUAUUCUCUUUAUAGGCAAUCCCUGCUGCCUCAAGACUUGAAACAAAACAAAUUGGAGGGCGAGUCAGAGGUCCAUCUCCAUUAAUCCAUCAAUGGAUAGAAUUCUGCUUGCAAACAGCGAGAGCAUUGCCUUUCAAGCAAGAGGUUAUCCUGGGUGCAUCUCCCUCUGCCCUUGAAAGUACUCUGGUUAAGUUGCCUGAAGAACUUCUGGAGGGUAAACCAAGUCUGGAUACUAACUUAAUUGCUGGAGUACUCCCGGCUGAAAUUCUGGCCAGAUGUGAGUUUUUGGAGCCAUUAUCUGAAGCUACUUUGUCAGAUUAUGAGUGGCUGGUUGUUAAUCUGCAAAAACCUGCUCCUGUCUUGAUGAAAAGGGUGCAACAUUACUUGUCAUCAUUAAUCCAAAGCUUUCUAGCAAGAGCUACAUUGAAAAGUUAAUGGCGCUGCAUGCCAGUCAUUAUAAUGCUGUCAGGGCAAUUGGGUCAGGGCAAUUAGGUCUGAGCAUAACUUCAUUAGGAAAAGAGGCUUCAGCUACGUUAAAUAUUACAGGAUGUACUGAGAUGGCUGAAGUUCUUGAGGUUUUAUGAGAAAGAUGAGUGUUUGUUUGAACAAAGUUGUUGCCAAUCUUGCAGAGUUCGAAAACAAAGAUCACGGAGCGAAUGCCACCAAUUUCUUCAUCAUUUUAGCCUCCAUAGUUGAAGUUUCCUCAUUUGAAGCUGUUUAUGCAUAUGCUUUUUCCCUUCUCAAGUACAGGAAAUUGAAGAAUUAACCAGAUGUGAUAUGCUGAAAGAGGGAAGUUUUCUUCCUUGAAUGUGGCCUUUGUGAUUUGUCUUGAUGGAAUAGGGUGAUCACUGGCGAGAACCCAAUCAAGGUAGAUUUUAUGAUGUUAACAUAUUAUUAAGCAUUUUGUUGCAUCAGCAAUGAUGCUUUCAUAGAAUGAAAGUGUUUAAAUUUAACUGAAUGAUCUUGAUUGAUCAAUUAUGAGUUUUAAUCGAGUAAAAACUAAAUACAAUGAUCGUUAACAAAUAUUGAAAUUGGGUAAAUAUGAUCUUGAUAUUGAAGAAUUUGAAAUCACAACCCACACAGGAAAUCACCCUUCGCGUGGGGAUGGUGAUGUUUACUGCAGCGAUAUUGAAUAUGUCCGCUGCUCUUUGGGUUAUGGUGCGAGUGCGACUUGCGAUUUCAAGGUUGCCAUGAAACAAUGGAAAAGAUUAACAUGCCCUCCAAUGAAUGAAACUAUUAUGUUAUUAACAAUGCACAGUCCGAGUACUUUUCCAGGAUCAGAUACGAGGUGGUCUAAUGUUGAUAAUAAUAGAUUAUCAAAUGACAAAUCGUUGUUCUUGGGUGGUGAUUUCAGAAAUAAAAUACAUUCUGAGAGAUGCUGGUUUACUAUUGCAAGCCCCCAGAUUUAAGAAUCUUUUGAUGAUAAUUUAUCACCUGCAGCUGUGCCGGAAGAUUCAAGUAGCACUGAAAAAGAUGAUAAUUUAAUUGAUAUGGACAGUUUUCAUAUCACUUUUAAAUCAUCUUAUGUAAUUGUAAUGUUAGGAAGCAUUAGUGAUCUAAAAGUGAACUAUUAUUGGUGUAAUUGGUGGUUUUAUCUUGUUAAAAUAUGGAUGACUUCCUGUUACUAUUUUAUUAUAGACAAUCUUAUUCAAUUAACAUAUGGUUUAAAACCAUUAUGUUUUAUGUAAAUCAAUCUAUUAAUUUUCAUGAUACUUAACUGAGUUAAAACCAAGUGCACUCAAUAAAUGUCUUUUCCUUUAAAAAACUGCUACGCUUUGAUUUUAGUGCUUAAUAUUUCGUAACUACAGAUUAUCUAAUUGCGAGUUGCUGUCCAUAGCUACUAAUUUGUAGUGAUUAUCUAAUUGACGAAGGUGACAAUAAUUAUUUUAUUUUCAAUAGCACAACGUGGAAUUCAAUAAUUAAAUUCUCCUGUUUAAUUUGUUUUAAGUUAAAUUAUUAAUUACUUAAACUCUGUUUUAAGUCUUUAAUUUUCUGUGUUUAUGCAGAAUUGGAUUCUUGAGCGUGUUGGACAUGACCAACAAUGAAAUUGACGUAAACAAACAUUACAACGUGUGGACUCCGGUAGCUACCCCGCAAGUCUACAACUUUACAAAUAAUAAUUGAGUAAGCACCUUUGAUUUCUAGCCCCGUUGACUCCACCGACUAAAGUUUUGUAAAAUAAAAAAAAAAUGCAUAGAAUUCCACCAAAUGCAAAACGCGUGGAAUUUAAUUUUCGGCCGUGUGGAUCAAAACAUAAUUUAAUGAAAAAGGAAAAAAAAUGAUAAGAUUUUUAAAAUGUGUGGAAGGUGAUUCAUAUUUUACUGAAACAACUUGUUAAAUUUUUCAAGGAUUUAUAAUAUUUGGUCAUAAAUUACGUGCAUGUUAAUUUUUCCGCCAUUGACUAUCAUAUUCUAGACUUAAUGGUACCUUUCUUGAUGAAGGGUACUUAAUCUCUCUUCUCCUCUUAUAAAAAUUAUAUUAAUUGAUUUCUUAUUAUAGUUAAUAGUCUUCAAGAACGGAUAGAUUUAUUGUCUUCAUGACCAAAUUAUGCAUGCCUAACGUUGCAACUAUUAAUAAAAUUAAUAUUUAAUGUUUAUGUUAAAAUAUAUAAGAUUUUAUGCAUUCAUUAAUUGUUAUUAGCUAAAGGAUGAAUUAUUUUUUCCCAAUCAGUUGAUGCAUCUGCAAGAGUUUUUUUUUUCUUUUAUUGACCAUAAUUAUAUUCCGGGUACAAUAAAUUGUCUUUGGUGCUUGGAAGAUAUGACAUCUCUCUGUCAACUUACUGGAAAUAUCUCCUCAUCUACUCUCAUUUAUCUAAUAUCAAUUGAAGAUCUCAUAUUUCCAAACUAGGACCUCCAAAUCUCAUUAUCAUUUGAGCAUUCAAAACUAAUCAAGUGUGGAAAUAAUCAAAUAUAUGCAAAAAUCGAGUCACAAUCUUUGGCCCCUCAAAAUUCUAAUUAUAUAACUUCAUAUCUCAUACAUUUUCCAAAUUCCUCUUCCAUCAACAUCACUAGGAGUAUGUUCAUCUCUCACACAUUAACUUGAGUGGAGAGUUUCCAAAUUGAUUGUCAGAAAACAAUACAAAAGCUAGACACACUUGAUCUGUCUAAUAAUUCUCUUUCGGUAAAAUAAAUUAAUUUUAGGGUAAUAUUCAGCCAACCUCUGUAAUUUCAGAGUGAUCAUUAAUUAAUUAAUUAAACGAUACAAUAUCUAAAGUGAUUAGAUGUUUGCGGACAAUAUAAGUUCAUGGCUUGAAAUUUGAUCUCUAUCGAUUGGUUUACAGAUGGACGUACUUGUGCCUUUGUGGUGAUAAUUGAACCAGAGAUGUGAAGCUGUAAGGAUUUGGCAGUAGUAAAUUGUUAUAAAGGCAUAAAGACAACUAUUUUACAACAAAUUCAUCUCGCCAAAAAUUCUAUUUUGCUAACUAACAAUAAUUGAGCACUUGACCGCAUUGACUCCACGUCUCCAGCUACUUUCUAAGUAAAAACAUGGAAAUGUAAUCUCCACAAAAUGCCAAACGUGUGGAAUUUAAUUUUUGGCCUUGUGGACCAAAAUGCAAAUGAAAGAAAAAGAAGGAAAAAAACAAGGCCCAAAGACUUCUAAAAGAUGUAAAAGUCUUUGGGUUUUUUUAUAAUGGUGGAUUUUUUAAAAGAAAAAAAAUAACAACACUCCUAUGGUUUGUUUUGAUAAUCACAUUUACAUAUACUCUCUAAUUUUCAAAAUGGACACAUAAAUCUUUUUUUUUCCUACAAAUGUAUAUUAUUCGUAUUUUUUAUUAUUUUUAAUAUCAUAUUGUUAUUUAUUAUAAAUGUUUAAAGUAAAUUUUUAGGUUGAAAUAUAAUAAAAGGGUAUAAUCGUUCUCUUAUUAAACACCCAUACUUUUAGUUUCUAUCCAUUUGCCAUCUCAAUCUCUCUCAAUUAUUCAUUAUUGCUAGCUCAAAAUGCGUUGCUGUUGCAAAUUAUAGCAAAAAGACAAAUAUGGAAAAGAAAAAACGGUAGAAAAUUAGUGCAUGAAAGACUUGGAGAAAACAACGAAGUAAGUCAACUAUAAUCUAGCUGGGUGUAUAAAUUGCUUGAUGCUUUAUAAGCAAAUAACAUACAGAGACAGACAGUGUGUGUUCGUUUUUUCAUAGUUAAAGAUAUAGUUAGAAUGGGCGGUUCAAAAUCAAAAAUGGUGAUAAUGUUUGUUAUGUUAUUAAUAAUAUUUAAAAGUGGGUGGAGUGAGGGAUGUUUGGAUCACGAGAGAUUUGCUCUUUUGCGACUCAAACAUCUCUUCGAUGAUACUGGUAGUUAUCCUUACGACUGGGUAGAUGGUGAGGGAGCUAUUGAUUGUUGUCAGUGGGAAAGGGUUGAGUGCAGCAACACCACAGGCCGAGUGAUAGCGCUAGACCUUUUUGAAAUGUAUUCGGGAGAGUACAGCUGGUAUCUGAAUGCUUCUUUGUUUACUCCCUUCCAACAACUUGAGUCACUUGAUUUAACUGACAACAAAAUAGCCGGUUGUGUUGAGAAUGAAGGUGCUUCGUUUAAUUUAAUUAAUUUACUUUCUCCCCCCUAAUUUAAGUUGAAUAUCAAGACCGAGCAACUAUACGCAUAUUCAUUUAGUCGACAAUUUUGACUUUUUUUUAAGUGAUUAAUUAAUUUUAAAAUUACACCAAUAUCUAUGAUCUUUUUUUUUUUUUAAUUUUGCUUGCAGGUCUAGAGAGGCUAUCAAGAUUGAACAACUUGAAGAUGCUUAAUUUAAGUGAAAACUCGUUCAACAAUAGCAUUUUAUCAUCUCUAACUCAUCUUUCAUCAUUAAGAUCAUUAAAUUUAUUUUGGAAUAGAUUGGAAGGAAGUAUUGACUUUAAAGGUACAUAAUUAAAACUUCAUCCCUUCUCCAAGCUCUUUCAUUAACUUGCUAAAAUAAGACUCAAGGCUUUGAAUUCAAUUUUUUUUAUGAUUAGUAUUAAAAAAAACAGUUUUAAGCAAUUUAUAAAUACAAGUUUUAAUGGUUAUCGUAAUUUCAUCUUGUAAUUUCAUAUGUCUUGAAUUUAAGAUUAAAAAAAAACUCUAAUAGCGAACCAAACACCUCCACAACUUAUUAUUAUUAUUAUUAUUAUUAUUAUUUAUGGUGAGGUUGGAAACAUUCAACUUAAUUUGUACUUAUUACAGAAUUUGAUUCUUUGAGAGAUUUAGAGGAGCUAGACAUUGGCGCGAACAAGAUUGACAAAUUUGUGGUCUCAAAAGGUACUACAAAUACCACAAAAAAUGUAAACUUUUACAAAUUAACUGGAUUCUUUGCCAUUUGGUUUAUUAUUUUAUAGGUUUGAGUAAGUUGAAGUCUCUUGAUUUAAGUGGUAUCAAACUCAACCGUAGUAUCUUAUCUUCUCUAACUGUCUUUUCUUCAUUAAGAGAAUUACAUCUACGUGAUAUCGGAUUCAAAGGAACAUUUGAUGUUCGAGGUAAGCCUAAGCCUUGCUUUCUCAUUUUCUAUAUGCCAACUAGAUUUGUGUAUCAUCGACAUAAUUUAAUAUUUAAUUUGAUAAGUCUGAAGGAAUUACAUGCUAAUUUAAACAUACUUUUAUUUACUUUGUCAAUUAAUUAAUUAAUUAAUUACUAUUUGACAUUGGACGGUUCCUCUCUCCAUAUAAGCCUUCUGCAAAGCAUUGCAUCAUUCACUUCGUUAAAAAAUCUGUCGAUGUCUGAUUCUGAAGUCAAUGGUGUCCUACGUGGUCAAGGUAAAAGAAAAGUGUUGACUGUGAAUAAGCUGUUAAUUAAUUAAUGUUGUUGCUCCUUGCUUCUAAACAGAGUUGCGCAAUUUCACCAACUUGGAAUAUUUGAAUUGGAUUCUUCCUCGCUCCAUAUAAGCCUUCUACAAUUGCUUGAACAAUUUAUUUAUUUAUUUAUUUAUUAUUAUUGUUGUUGUUGUUGUUGUUGAAGUGGGGUGGGCAAGCGUUUACUCGGUUAAUAUGUGGGGAAUUAAAUAUUACAAUCCAAGGUAGAAUUGUGGAAAAUUAAAGUAAAAUGAGAAAUAUGGAAAGAAAGGAAGAAAGUUAAGGGCAUGAAAGACUAGGAGAAGACUAAAGACCACCAAAUAAGUCAACUGAAAACUAGCUGGGGCCUGGGUGUAAAAUUGUUAGAUGUGUUUGUUAUAAAUAACAUAGAGCCCUCUUGUUGGUUGCAGAGGCAGAGAGACAGAGAGUGUGCAUUUUGUUAAUUAAAAAUAUAAAUAUAUAAAAUGGGUGGUUCAAAAUCCAAAAUGGUGAUAAUGUUAGUUUUGUUAGUAUUAAUAAUAUUAUAAGGGAGGUGGCGUGAGGGAUGUUUGGUGCAUGAGAGAUUUGGUCUUUCGAGACUUAAAACAUUUCUUCAAUUCUCCUUCUAAUUUUUGUCACGACUGACCGUUGUCAAUGGGAUGGGGCUGGGUGCAGGGUUGAUUUACGUUAGAACAAUAUAGCCGGUAGUGUUGAGAAUGAAGGUGUUUCAUUUAAUUUAAUUAAUUUACUUUCUCCCUCCUAAUUUAAGUGGAAUAUCAAGACUGAACAAUUAUAUGCAUCUUCGUUCAGUUGACAAUUUUGACAUAUUUUUUUAAGUGAUUAAUUUUGAAAUUACACCAAACAUUAUUUGUGAUCUCUGUUUUGACUUUACUUGCAGGUCUAGAAAGAUUGAGCAACUUGACGAUACUUGAUUUAAGUCAUAACUUGUUCAAUAAUAGCAGCUUGUCAUUUGUUGCUCGUCUUUCAUCAUUAACAUCAUUAGAUUUAUCUUACAAUGGAUUGGAAGGAAGUAUUAAUAUUAAAGGUACGUAAUUAAAACGCCAUCGCUUCUCCCAACUCUUUCAUUAACAUGCUAAAAUAAGAUUCAAGGCUUUGAAUUCAAUUUUUUUUAUGAGUAAUAUUAGAAAAAUAGUUUUAAGCAAUUCAUAAAUACAAUUUUCAAUGUUUCUCAUAAUUUCAUCUUGUACUUUUGUAUGUCUUGACUUUAAGAUUAAAAAAAAAAAUUACUCUAAAUGUGAAGCAAAUACCCCAUGACUAAUUUACAAUUUUGUCCAAUUAAAAAUGAUAAAAUUUAUCAUUUGUUUACAUUGAUUUAUUAACUCUAUUUUAAGUCUUAAGUCUUGGCGUCUUGGCAUGUUUGCAGAAUUUGAUUCCUUGAGCAACUUAGAGGAGUUGGACAUGCGCGGUAAUGAAAUAGACAAUUUCGAGGUUCCUCAAGGUACACAAUUAAAAUAUUAUUUAAUUACAAUAAUUUAAUUCGUUUGAUUAGGGAAGGCCCAAAAUGUACAAAAACAUAAUUAAAAAAAAAUAAAGAAACAGAGAAUUCAUAUUAUUUCAAAAAACAAAAGGUAAUACUAUUAUUUCAAAAAAAGAAUGUAAUAAAGAUUUGAUUCCGGUUCUUUAAUCUUUAUAGCAAUUGAAAAACAAUGUUGCUCUUUUCCUAAAGCAUAAAAUAUGAAAUGAGUCAUAAUUGAAUUAGUCAUUUAUUUUGUUUAGAUAUAAAUUUAGACAAUAAAUUUUCAUUUUUUUUUCAAUCCUAUCCUUAUUAUUAUUAUUAAACAGGUUACAGAGGUUUGAGGAAGUUGAAAAGCCUCUAUCUAUCGAACGUUAAAAUUAGAGAUGGAAGCAAGUUGUUACAGUCAAUGGGAUCACUCCCAUCCCUCAACACUCUUUACCUGAAGCAUAAUAAUUUUACCGGUACAGCGACAACUACUACUCAAGGUAAGUAAAAGGUACAGAUGUGGCCAAAAUUAUAAACAAACUGUUAAUUAAUUAAUUUUUCCGUAUUAUUAAUUAAGCUAAAUUUGUUGCUCCUUCCUUCUAAAUCUACACAGAGUUGCACAAUUUCACCAACUUGGAAUAUUCGACAUUGUCCGGUUCCUCUCUCCAUAUAAGCCUUCUGCAAAGCAUUGCAUCAUUAUUCCCUUCAUUAAAAAAUCUGUCGAUGUCUUAUUGUGAAGUCAAUGGUGUCGUACGCGGUCAAGGUAAAAGAAAAGCGUUGAUUGUGAACUCACUCAAUGGUGUCCUGCGUGUUCAACAUUUUUGUUUAUUUAUUUUAUUGUUUAAUGUUUCUGCUAGGUUUUCCCCAUUUCAAGAGUUUGGAACAUUUGAACAUGGAACGCGCGCGCAUUGCACCCAACACCAGCUUUCUUCAAAUCAUCGGUGAAUCGACGCCUUCUCUUAAGUACUUAUCACUGUCAGAUUUUACUCUCAGCACUAACAGCAGCAGGAUUCUUGAUCGAGGUUAAUCAGAUGCUCCCACCCUCCCUUCUUAAUCUAUAAUAUUAAUUUUCAAUUAAAUAUUUAAUUACACAAAUGAAUCACUUAUUAUAAAAGAAUAAUACGCAUUCAUUAAUUUCUAUAUUGAAUUAAUUGAUGAAUUUAAUAAAUUUUCAGGCCUCUGUUCGUUGAUGCAUCUGCAAGAGUUGUACAAGGUUAAUAAUGAUUUAAGAGGUAGCUUGCCUUGGUGCGUGGCAAAUAUGACAUCCCUCAGGAUAUUAGAUGUUUCUUCCAAUCAACUUACUGGAAGCAUCGCUUCAUCUCCCCUCGCUCAUUUGACAUCCAUUGAGGAGUUGCAUCUUUCAGACAAUCACUUCCGGAUCCCAAUUUCACUUGAACCACUUUUCAAUCACUCAAGACUCAAGAUUUUCGAUGCUGAAAACAACGAACUUAAUGCAGAAAUAACUGAGUCAUAUUCUUUGACCACCCCAAACUUCCAAUUACAAUAUCUCUUGUUGUCUUCCGGUUAUGGAGAUGGUGCCACAUUCCCCAAAUUCCUUUACCAUCAACAUGACUUGGAGUAUGUUGAUCUCUCACACACAAAGAUGAAUGGAGAAUUUCCAAAUUGGUUGUUGGAAAACAACACAAAAUUAAAAACUCUUUUUCUGGUUAAUGAUUCUCUUGCAGGACCUUUCCGUUUGCCAAUUCAUUCACACAAGCGGUUAAGACAGUUAGAUGUCUCCAACAACAACUUCCAAGGCCACAUUCCAUUAGAAAUUGGAGAUAUUUUACCAAAUUUAAUAUCCUUCAACAUUUCAAUGAAUGCUUUAGACGGUAGCAUUCCCUCUUCAUUUGGUAAUAUAAACUUACUCAAAAUUCUGGACUUAUCCAACAACCAAUUGACUGGUGAAAUCCCUGAGCACUUGGCCGUCGGUUGCGUCUACUUGGAUUUUCUUGCGUUAUCAAACAACAGCUUAGAAGGUCAUAUGUUCUCUAGAAACUUUAACCUAAAAAACUUGAAAUGGUUACAAUUGGAAGGCAAUCGCUUCGUAGGUGAGAUCCCACAAAGUUUGUCUAAAUGCUCCUCACUAAAAGGAUUGUACCUUAACAAUAAUAGUCUUUCGGGUAAGAUUCCACGAUGGUUGGGUAAUCUCACAUGGUUACAAUAUAUUAUAAUGCCCAAUAAUCAUCUUGAAGGUCCUAUUCCAGUGGAGUUUUGUCAACUUUAUUCGCUUCAGAUUUUGGACAUUUCAAACAACAACAUAUCUGAAAGUUUACCAUCUUCUUUCCAUCCUCGCUUUAUCAAACAAGUUCACCUAUCGAAAAAUAUGUUACAUGGACAACUAAACAGAGGUACAUUCUUUAAUUGCUCUUCCCUUGUGACAUUAGAUCUUAGCUAUAACUGCUUGAAUGGCAGCAUUCCGGAUUGGGUUGAUGGGCUUUCUUAGUUAAGCCACCUUAUCUUAGGUCACAAUAAUCUUGAAGGUGAAGUGCCAGUUCAAUUGUGCGAACUGAACCGAUUGCAAUUGUUAGAUCUUUCUAAUAAUAAUCUUCACGGUCCUAUUCCUCCUUGCUUUGAUAACACCACACUUCAUGAAAGUUACAGCAAUAGUUAUAGUCUUGAUGAGCAAUUUGAAAUAUUUGUUUCCAUCGAAGGCUCUUGGGGAUCGGUAGAAAAGUAAAUCCAUGAAAUUUUUGAGUUCACAAUAAAGAACAUUGCGUACAUUUACCAAGGAAAAGUUCUUAGCCUCCUAUCAGGACUUGAUCUUUCUUGCAACAAGCUAAUCGGUCAUAUUCCUCCUCAAAUUGGAAAUUUGACAAGGAUUCAAACAUUGAAUCUAUCACACAACAACUUGACAGGAUUGAUCCCAUCAACAUUUUCAAACUUGAAGCAUAUCGAAAGUUUGGAUCUUUCCUACAACAAAUUGAAUGGGAAAAUCCCUCAUCAACUUGUGGAGUUAAAGACAUUGGAGGUUUUCAGUUUGGCAUUCAAUAACUUAUCAGGCGAAAUUCCAGAAUGGAAAGCACAAUUUGCAACCUUCAACGAGAGUAGCUAUGAGGGAAAUACUUUUCUUUGUGGAUUGCCAUUGCCCAUUUGCAGAUCACCAGCAACUACGCCGGAGGCUUCAAUUGGCAAUGAAAGAGAUGAUAAUUUAAUUGACAUGGACAAUUUCUUUAUCACAUUUACAACAUCGUACGUAAUUGUGAUAUUUGGAAUCGUUGUUGUUUUAUAUGUAAAUCCUUAUUGGCGAUGUAGAUGGUUUUACUUUGUUGAAAUGUGGAUAACUUCCUGUUACUAUUUUGUUGUAGACAAUCUUAUUCCAACAAGAUUUUGUCAUUGAAAUUAAUAAGUAGUUUAAUUAGGAUUCUUUAAGUACUAAUCAAGUUUGCUUAGGAAAUAAAUUUUUAUUAAAAUUGUAGUAGUAUUUAGCAUUAUAUAGCUUCCAACUUUCAAGCACUUCACAUUUGUCUCUACACUUAAAAAGUUGAGUGAUCAUGUUUUGCAGAUCUGGAUUUGGAGAAGGAUGGAUCCAAACCCAAAUCUGUCCACCAUAACUUAUACCCUACACUGUGUAGCAUACUUAAAUAAGAGAAUCAUCUCCAAUGUUAAAAGCAACCACUCUAUAACAUUCAUUUAGAAACUAUAUUCAGAAUAGUUUUAUAAUCAUACACAAGAAAUGAAACACCUAGAUACACUUGAUCGCCUAUUUUACUCUAAAAAAGAACGAUUAUAGUGUUAUCAUCAUCUUCUUCACUAGCAACAUUAACACCAAAUCCAGCGAUGGACGCAUACAUUUCAUCAAGAAAGGUAUAUAUCUAAUAAAGUUGAAGCCUGACAAAAAAUUCAGGAAGAUUCAUGCCUCGCCACAACAAGGGGCACAACAACAUCAAAGUAGAGAUUAAGCAGUAUUCUCAAAGCUAAAACUCUCAAAUCCACCCACCAAAUUUUCAUAUCUCCUCAACAAUUUUAAGAACUAAAGAUAAUUAGGAUUUAACAUUAGUUUUUUAUAUAGUAGUUUCAUAAUUUACAAAUCAAUGAAGAUGAAGAUUAUGCUAAUGAAUUCAAAUUAUACCAUACAUUCUCUAGAUGUUACCAAAAAUUUCUAAGUCAAUCCCACAUAUUUCAUAAUUUUAAGACUAGAAAAUUUCAAUAGUUAGAAGUUUCAUUACCUUCAAGUGGAAGAUGAAGAACAUUAUGCAAGUGAUUCAGGUUAUAUCAUACAUACUCCAAAUGCAACUAGAAAUUAACAAGUUCAUGCGCACAUAUUUCAUAACAUUAUGAUUGAAAAGUUUCACAAAGAGAAAUUCUAAAUUCAAUCCCUUGCAUCAAGGCAGUUUGAUUGAUUUGAGUUACUUUAUGAUCAAGCUACUAAUAUAACAUUCAAGUCAGGGAGAAAGUAAAUUAAAACUGGGUACAAAUAACAGUAAAAAUUUGUUGCUAAACAUGAUGUGUAUUUUUUUAAGGCAAUUUGGAAACACAUUUGUUACUAGAUAUUCUCCUCAACUUGGAGACAAAUACAAAUAUUAAAAUGCAUAUGAUCGCACAUACUACUUGGAGCUUAGUAAGAUUUCAUUAAAAGAAGCAAUCAAACCACUUAUCAAUUGUCGCAAUCGUUCUAUAAACUAAAAUAGCAAUAUAAUACAAGAAAAAGAACAUAUAGAUACUCGGCAAGAGUUCAUUAAGAAGUCGCAUCACAUUAGGGUGAGGAGUUUGCUUCUGAUAUCUUGCUAGCUGGGGCUUUUUCUUGUCUUUCUACGUAUGCCGAGGGAAACCAACCAGCUAGGCCCUUGCAUUCACCUUCCGACCAUCCAGUAGGAGCCACCUUGAGAAGUUAUAACUAAAACGGUGAAUUAAAAAAAAGUUGACAAUUCAAAGACCUAAGGGGAAAACUAAUUCUUUUACGUAGAGGAAGUGAACUAGUUGUGAUCACUGAAAUAAAAAAAUAACUAUGGAAGCAUAACAAGAUAUAAAUUCACAUGUCUAUAAGGGUAAACAGGGUGGUUUAGAACUGAGCUAGCAACCCUACUAUAUUCUGAUUUGCACUUCAAUGUAAAAGGGAAUAUAUGGUAGGAAGAAAAAAAACCAACCAUCAUUUGUUAACUUAUUGCUUUUCAAUCAAAAUUUUAAGAACAAAAUGCCAUGUGCUUUGAACAUCAAAUAAGUAUAAGCAUUAGUUCUAAAUUCCACAUAUUAUAAGUUGUUAGAAGGAUAAGUUAAUAGCAUAGUAGAAAAAUCUAUGUGUUGGUAUUUAGAGGGGAAAGUACCUGGCGAACCACAACAUAAUCAUCAAUUGAAAGACUUAGCUCUCCAUUUGCUUGAUCAUCAAAUGGAUGUAUAACCUGCAAGAUAAUGGGAUAAAUAGAACUUAAAAAAAGCAUAACAAAAGCAGCAACAGCAGCAGCAGCAUUCAUUGUAACCACUAUGAUCAUGGCCAACAAAGAUAUAUUAGAAACAAAAUUCCAUUUUUACUACGACUUUAAUAUGUACUAUACGAUAUCAUGACGAUUGGGUUAUCAAGUGCUAUCAAAGUCUAAUAAGUUCUGUAUAACUUUAUAUAGUUAUUUUAAUUAUGGAUCAAAUUUUAAAUUUGAAAUUUUGACUGCUCUCCACAAAAUAUGGCCUAUGCACAAGAAAGUCAUAGAUAAUGAGGAUUACAAGUGUCCGACAUCUUUUGAGUGAUGGAUUUAACAUGAGAGCUUAUGGUCAGUCAAUUUCCUCUGCCUAGCAAUAUAAGCUUUCUCGGCCAGAUUUAUCAUCAAAUACAUAGAUUGCCCCCAAGUCACAUCCAUAUAAACAUAGUUUUCUAGGUAAACCAAGGAGAAUCAUAAUUUAGACAUAAUCAUAAAAAGGCCCAUCUAACUUAAGAGAAAAUCUCAAAAAGAGGGAUGUUGAGCUAUCAGUCUUGUAUCUAUAAGCAAUAUCAAGACUUUACAUCACCUGCUACAUCGUGAGUGGCUACACAACUUUCAGUGGUUUGUCUUUCUUUGGCAUGCCUAACUCAGCUUUGAUGUUGCUGAGAUAUUGAUAGUAGAGACACAUGAUACUUCUAGCUCAUGCAUUUUAUCUAGCUCAUCCGACAACUAUUUCUUUUUUAAUUCAUUAGUGUUUGCUAAACCUCAUGCUCAAAAGUCCUGUUCUCCUAAACAAAGUUUCCUAAGAAUGACUUCCUCAGCACAACAUUUGGACACUUUUAGAGCAAUUUUAUUUGGAGGAAAAGAAUUUUCAAGGUGUUAACUAAUAAAUUUUAAAAUAUAAUUACAAUUUGUCCUACGAUCAUAUGACAAUUUAUUUGGGAUGAAAGGAUACAGACAGACAUCUUCCACUUUCAAGACUAAUCACUACUUCCGUAGAUGUUGUGCAAUGAUACAAAUACUUGACCAGAUGGUAGUGAUGGUAGAAAAAAAUUUAUUGCUCCAAAAUUAAAAUAAGAAUGCAAUAUGUUAAGCAAAAGACUGUGCAACAUCAAAUUAAUUGAUGAGUUUGUAAUUCAGUAAAUUAACAACUUUCAUGGUAAAAUACAACAAGUUUCUUUUAAAAAAAAUAAAAAAAAUAAAUCUUAAAAGACAGCAUUCAUUUUUGUGCGCAUGUUAUUUCUUAAGAUUUUUCAGGAGGAGGGCAAUAGAGGGACUUUCACCUAUGCAAGAGAGCAGAAGCCUUACUUUUGCUAUAAAGUAGACGUCAUUCUGAUUAAUAUGCGUUUGAAUCAGCUCCGUUUGCUAUAAAGUAGACGUCACACAUGAGGCAUUUACAUCCAUUUCCAAAGUCACAUGUUGCGAGGAGGACUCAUUUGAUUGCUCCUCUAGGAUCAUCUAAUGCAAGUAGUAAGGGUUGGAAGAAAAUAAAAAGUCACAAUUAUUCUUUUGCGUAAGUGAGACGAAAAUGAUAAAUGCAAUAUUAUCAGCAGUAAACAAGAAGAGAACGCUCCAAGGAAUAGAUAGAUGCAGACAAGCAAGUUAAAAUGCAUAGUCCCAAACCUCCGCAUACAACUUCUCUAAAAUAGCAAUAACGUGUUGAUGAUAUGUUUUCUCAGCAUCUACCUGCAAAGGCCCGAGACCAGGAAAACGGCAAUAAAACCACUAGCUAAAGGAGAAAGUAAAGAAAGAAAUACACUUGACAUAAAUCUUGACAAGAAGCACAGUUUAAACCCCAAUCAUAUUGUUUAGAACUACCAUUCGUUAUUGUAACAUUUCGAACAAGUGUUGACUUAAUUCAACAUUGUUGGAAAGAUAGGCUUUUAAAAGCGGAAGAAAGCCACUCAAACCAAAGUGAUUGUCCUUGUAUUGAUCAAGGGAUGUAAACAUAUUACAUUUGCAGGAUAAGUUUUAAUUAAUCACUCCCCUGAUUUAUUUGGGUUGCAGUUUAAUUUGUGAAUUUUUUUCUAUAGACAUGUUAGUUCUUGCUAUUGAAAUGUUAAAAGCAUUGAAAAAUUAUUCAAUAAAUUAUGCAUAACAUUAAAAUAGAGGACAUAUUAAAAAGUUUCUAAUUACAAUGUUAAUAUUUCCUAUAUUUUAGCAUUUGCAUAUUUUAAUUUAUUUAAAAGCUACGUCGAUCAACUGUGGGCAUGAAGAUUUUAGCUUCUACGAGACUUGAUUGGAAUAUGCAUAAGGAAGAGUGUUAAAAUAUGAUGCAUCCAACGAAAGACAAACCACGUGUAGUCUUUUAAUUAAGCCAAAGUAGCAGCUCAAACAAAUGACACUUGGACCAACAUGCAAUCAUGAAGUGGCCGGAAAAAGGACAAAUGCAACUUUGGCUUAAAUAAAAAAUAACAUGUGACUUGACUUUUGCUGGACAUGCAUCAUGUUAUUACAAGACAACAGAAAUCAGUAUGAUAGUACUAAAAGUUGACAAUAACAUGAAGAUAAGAGGCAGAAUGUCAACACAUGCAUAGGCACACACAAGAAAGUAUUAACUUAUAUACCAUAGCAAAAAGUCUUUGAUAUGUCAUCUGUUGCUGCUGUGAUUCAACUGACAGCAUGGCAGCUGUUGCUUCUCUACCAAGAGCCAUUAUUGUAGAUUUAAGCUCGGUCAAUCUUGCUUCUGCAUUUCGAAGCUUCACAGCACUCUCUGCUGAUAUAUCAGAUUCCCUAAUCUUUGAUCGGCGCCUAAAUACUUCAGCUGCCUGGUGAAAAUAUUCAAUAUAAAUCUAACAUAAUUCUAAUCUUACCUGGGCUUCAACUUCAUGUCGAAGUUUGUCAUAACGAUGAGUCAGGUGUCGAGCAUCUUCCAAAGGUGCUCCGUUGAUUAACGCCCGUAGUGGCUCAGAUACCUACAUGUCCAAAAACCUGUAACAUAGUUAGAAAAAUGAAAAGAAAGAGCGAAACCUCAAUUAAAAAGUUCCUCCAACAUAAUCAUGGAAUUUGGGCCUACUUCAAGGAUAUAUAUAUAUAAGGAUAAUUUAUGCAAUUUUGGGUCUUAGGAUGAUUCAUAUUAGGUUAGUGUUCUUCUCUUCUGUAUUUAAGGUUAAAAUAGAAAUAAACCUAUGCAAAUAUAUAAAUUAGGGCUGUAAGACUUCCACAUGCAUCCUUCAGUCUCAUGGAUUUGAUUUUACUAUAGAUGCAAGUGUCUUUAUCGAAAAUGCUUGGAGUCAAUUGAGAGAACUCACGGCCAAUAACUUGUCAGACGCUAGUCUUUGCUAGUGAUGUAAGAAGUCACAAGGUCUCUUCAGCAUUUGAACCAAUAAAAUUAUUAAGUCAUGGAUGUCACUAGCAAUGAUUUUAAUAUAAAACAUUAAAUAUUUCAGAGUUGUAACUUUAAAAUGGAUUCUUUUAUUCAAUAUCUUAGAACUAAGUUUCCUUAUGAGAAGAUAAUAGUUUCAGUAGUAAUUUACAUAUAAUUUUCUAUAUUUGAAUUAUUUUCUAGUUAGGGAUGAACUAACCUGAUCACCAAGAAUCCCAAGCAAAGUUUCCCUCUCAUUUUCCAUCAAAUCAUGUGAAGUGCCAAAUUGAAGAGCAGCUCUUGCAACGCAAGAAUUGUCACUUUGAUUCUCCGCUCCAUACUUGCAACAAUCUUCAGCCAACUUUCUCGCUACAAUAUUUGAAUACAAAAAUAUUGUGCACAAGAACUAGUCAAGAAAAAAAAAAUCAAAUAUUAUAACGAAUGCAAGAGCAAACAAACAACCUAUUUCCAUUUGUUUCAAGCUUACUGCAACAAGCCCUUCAAUGCCACGAACAAUAUUCCUCUGAAAAUGCUGCGCUACAGAGCAUAUAUUCCAAAUUAUUGUUCAGAUAAAACCAUAGAAACCAUCAUAAUUAUUCAACAUACAUUAAGCUCCGUUUGGUAAAUACUUGCAACUUCAGUCUAGAGAAUACAGUUCUAUAUAUGUAGCAGUCUAAAGGAGGAUGGUGCCUUAGCUGCCCUGGUGGAAUUGUAUAGAUUUUGAAGUUGUUGGUGACACUCAAUUUCAGCUUCAUCAACUGCCUGUACAAAUCAUAAAAAACUAAUGAAAAAAAUAAAUAAAAUCGAGAAAUUUCACUAAUUAAAAGUCUAAAUAUAAUUUUAAAAAAGAAAGAAACGCACUUGGUGCUGCUUGGCGACUUGUUCUCGGAGCUUGAUUGCCUGUUUCUUGAUAGCUUCCAUACUGUUUCUUUCAAAAAGCGGCGACGGCUCAGCUCAUGGAAGUUGGGGAAAAAAAAAAGUGUGAUCAAGAAAAUAAAAAGGCAUAUUAUUGUUGACAAAAUGUGAAAAUAAAAAAGAAAAAAGAAAAUUAUAAGUUUGAAAGGAGAAGAUGAUAGUGGAAGAGUGCGGCGUGGCUGCCAGCUACUUGGAUUGUAUUGUCGGGUAAGGUAAUUGUAGAAAAUUAUAAGUUUGAACAGAGCAUGUUAGACUUUUGUUGACCAAAUUCAAAAGGCAAAUGGCACGGCCCAGAAGCUUUGGAAUACAGUAACUUACAAGAAAGCUCCAUUUAUUCUUCUUAUACUUUACGCUUGCAUCAGCUUAAAUCACUUCUUAAUCGCUUGCUUUAACUGCGCCGCUUUGUACUGUUCUAUAUAUGUAGCAGUUAUGCGGAUGUAGUUCACGGCUGAGGGUACGUGUUUGUUUGACGUGGUAGUUACGUUACGACGUUACGAGAGUAUUAUUAGUUAUUUCACAGGGAUAAAUAAGAUUAGUCACAAUAAACCCACUAGUUUUAUAAAAUUCGAGUAAUAUAGAAUAAAAUAAAAAAUGAAUACAAAAUUGACUUUUAUUUUUUAUGGUUGACUAUAUUUUGUGUUCUCUUCUGGUACUACUACAAUUGUUCCCUGUAUAUCACUCAUACCCAUAUAUCAUUGACACAAGAAAUGAAAUCUAAUGUCAGAUGUUUAGUUAAAGAAUCACUUAUGAAAAAAUUUUACCAUUUUGAUUUGAGGAUCCCUAUUUUGAACUGCAAGCUAAUGUUCAUCAAGAACAGAGUAUGGCAGUUGAGUAGAAAAACUAUUUUUGGACAAAUUAUUUUUAUUGAUAGAAGAAUUUCUCAAGGGACUACUAAAAUUAUUAAAAAAAAAUGUCAAACACGCCCAUAUAUCAUCAACACAAUUGGUUUUGAGAAUCCAUACUUUAAACUGCCGCCUAAUAUUCAUCAAGAGCAGAGCAUGGCUUGUGAGUAGAAAAUUUUCUGAUUUUGGCCCCAAAUAAUCCAGCACUUUCUCAUGAAGAAAUGCAUACAAAGCAUACCAUGGUACCAUACAAUACAAGGAGUCUCCGUUCUCUAGUUUUUCAAACUCUAAAGGGGCCAAUACUCCCUAAUUCCCCCUCGAAAAUUCUGAUUAUGACAUUAUUCAUCCCUCGAUGCAAUCAAAGUAGUGACAAAGUUAGGAAAAAUAUGAGUCCUAAGUAAUUGCUAGGCAGGGCUCCUGUGAGCAAAAUUGUCCUAAGCAUUAUAUGCAUACAUGGUGUGGUACAUAAAGCACAAUGAAUUCCACACUAUAACACAAACCCAGAAAGAGAAGAAACAACUUAAUUGAUGUAAAGACAAAAAGAAGAUAAAAUGAUAUAGAAAAAAAAAUUCAAAGAGAUAGCAACAUACUAUAGACUGAAGCCACUUGAUCUGCUCAUUGAUUGCAGCCUUAAACUUGCAAAUAGUUACCGUAAGCUAGUGCUAUAAGAAGUGAAAAUGAUGCACACCCUGAUUCCCUUCGACUUCCAUUUACUGUCAAACAUUCUAUUAAUACAAAAAAAUUGUUCAAAUAUCUUGCCAUAAAUAUAGCCGUUUGACUGGCUUAAUAAAGUCACAAAUAACCAUUCAUAUUGAUCCACAGUGUCACACCGCCUGCUUUAUGCAUACAACAGCUGUAUGUAUACCAACUCCUAACCUUAUCAAUACAUUUGGCAAAAACUUAAGAAGAAAACUAUUUCUCCAUCUCUUUUUUGAAAUUUCACAAUAAACCAGCAUAUUGUAAACGUUAUGUUGUAACCUUAUGAUAAAUGCUCUAGACUCCAAAUGAAUUUUAUAUAUGAGGGUUUGUUGCAGCAGAUAUAUUGACUUAUCAAGUAUGAAUCAUUGUCUAGAAGAACUAUCUUUAGAUAAAAGAAUAUUAGAACCAUUCUAGAAUAUCUUUAGGUUGCUAGUUCUAACAGGAAUCUGCAUGUGGCAACAGUUGCCAGAUCCACAAUUCCCCAACUUGAAAUACAUAGUUGCACACCGUGAGAUAGUGCUGCAAUCUACUGAGAUCUAACUUAUAUGAUACUUUAAGCUACUAAUGUUUGCAUAUUUCUACAUGUUAAAUUGACACUACCAUCUAUAAUCACUCUAAAACGACAGAUGAUAAGCAGCUUUUGGCUACUUAUUACUAGCAUCCACAAUUAAUUUUUGUUCAGCAAUCAGCUUAUUUUAUAGAAAUUGAUUUAGUCAGCAACAAACACUAUAAUCCUUGAAAUUAGUUCUUGUUCUUUGUAAUUUUCUAUGAUUUUUCAUACAUCAAUUAAUCUGCAGUGCCAAGAUGAGGUUUGGUUUUUCAAACUAAAUAAUCAAGUAGCAAAAAUACAAAUUUAGAGAUUAGGGGGUGAACUAGCUAGGUGGUUUACAAAUAUUCCUAUUUGUAAGGUGAAUUAAUUGAAUCAUGAGAAAACAAUGUGACCAUAGCUCAAUAUGAGAUGAUUUCGGAGAGGCAUAUUGUUUUCAAGUGAAUUUGAUCCAUUAAGAGAUGAAGUGGAUUGAAGUGGAAAGUUUAAAUAACAAAUCCUUGUUCUUGAGUUUUACGACGUUGUUACUCCUUCAGGUGGCAGAUUAUGCAAGUGAAUUCAAAAACACAAUGCAUCAAUCACGGGGAUGCUACACCAAAAGACGGGAUCAUAGUCUAUGCAUUGAACAGUUACAGUUGCUGCUACCAAUUGACUCGGCAAAGAUCAAGAAGACUGAACGGGAAGUUAAUGCCAUCAAUGUCGUCUUCACUAUAGCUGCUGGGAAUGUAGGUGAACUUUCCUCAUUUGCGGCUGUCUAUACAUAGGCUUUUCCCCAGCUUAAGUACAAAUAAAUGAACCUGCUUUGAAGGCUUUAUUAUUGACCACAAUAAGGAUUACUAAUUGAAGAAGACUAUACGGAGUUAAUCCCACACUUUCGUUCUCUCAAUUUCUUUCAGAAGUGCCUCUGAAAAUAGCUGCCAAACCGUUAGUCAGCUUGUUAGACUCUGUUUUCUGGAAACAGAGCCCUAACUAACUGACUGUACAGAGUAAGUCAACAUAGCAUAUUUAAUCGUUUUAAUUGAAUUGUCUUCGUAGCGAUCAUCAACAAACUCAUCAUGAGAUUUUUGAAGCACCCAAGGACUAUCACUGGGUUUCUCUUCUGGUUGAUUAAUUAAUUAAUCAAAGAACGGUUGGAUACCCAAGGACAAUUAAAAUUAUUCGACUUCUGGAACUGGGAAUGAAGUGCAAUGAUGGAGCAAAAUUUACAAUGUCUCCGGUUUCUCCUACCAUCGGACUUUUGCAGUGAGAACAUAUAACAAAAAGGCCUUCAUCAAAAUUUGUAGACUCCGGGUAUGGAUUGGAUCGAUUUUUUUGUUUGAUAUUGAAGAACCUCUUUACUAUCGCGAUAUAGAUUAUGUGCAAGGAGUUGUCUACUGUUCUUUGCCUUGUGCUAUGAUCGGUGCUCUUGAGGCUGCCCUGAAACACAGGAAAAUACUUCGAUAUCCUCCGUUCGAUGAUGCAAAGAACCGGUUAAUGUAUGAUUACCUAAUUGACUCAGGAUCAGGUAACAACAACAACAAUUUAUUAAUAUCACAAACGAAGAAGAUCGCGGAGAGGGAGAUGUAUGCCUAUACUGUUUACAGGUUUGAUCCAUUGGGGAUGAAGUGGUCUCAAGUCGAAAGUGAUUUAUUAAACAACAAAUCAUUGUUCUUGGGUUAUACCUCAUGAUGUCAUCAAGUGGAAGAUUAAGAUUAUGCAAGACGAAGAUCGUUUGAUAUUGAAGAAUUUGAACAGAAAGCCCAUAGAAAGUACUUAAAAAAGCAUAUUCUUGUUGGGGUAGAAUAUUGAGAAAGGAGUUGUCUACUGUGUGUUGCGUGAUUAUGCUAUGAUCUGUGCUUUGAACAUUGCCCUGAAAACAGUGGAAAAUACUUCAUAUCCUCGACAUGAUGAUAAAAAAUUGGUUACCGAUUACGUAACUGACUCAGGUGACAACAAUCCAUUAAUAGCACAAUUUGAGGUGAUGCCGUUUAGGUAUAUGGUUAACAGGUUUGAUUCAUCAAUGAUGAAGUGGGCUUAAAUUAAAAGAUCAUAUAAUAAGUCGUUCUUCUUGGGCAUAUCGUCAUUACUACUUCAAGUGAUCAAAGAUGAAGAUGAAGAUGAAAAUUGUGCAAGUGAGUUCAAGAAUACCAUACAUCGUUACUUGGGAUACUUCUUCAAAUAUGGAUGGGGUCAUAAUUUACUCCCACGAAUUUCAACCCAAUUUUAUGAUUGGAGUGUCCCACCAUGACUCAGAAAAAUUUUGAUUCAACCUCCUCCACCAAUGGAUUUUGAAUAGUCACUUUGUGAUCAAGCAACUUAAUUAAACUCAGAGAGUCAGAGUUCGAUUUUGCUGGCACCGCAUUUUCUUUAAAAUGUGGCCAUGUAAGGAGAGCGGCACAUAAUGUCACUUCCUUAUCAAGCACUUUAAAGAGGGAUUUUAGAAGAAGAUACAACUGCAAUUGUUUUCGUAUGUAUAUAUAUAAACAACAGCACACAUUCAGUUCAUAAAAGAAAUUUUUGCUAACCAUGAUAUGUGGUAGUGCUUUUUAGGCAAUUUAGAAACAGAGUUGUUCAACUUACAGCAGGUAUUCUCCUCAAGUUCGACGUAAAUACAAAUAUUAAUUAGAAUCCAUAUUAUAAUGACACACAUAACUUGCUUCAAAAUUAUCAGAAAUUAAAAUUGCUGAUUCAUAAUGCAGAUAACUUGGAUGAAUUGAUGUUAAAGGAAAAAUCACACGCAUAACUUGGAGAGCAAUUGCGACAGCAGCCAAGUAUAUAUUUUUAUUUGAGAGUUGAGAAGAAUAUAUUUAAUGAAGCUUGAUAACAUUUGAUGGGAUAGCAAGUAAGGGUAAAUAAGAUAUUUUUAUUUGUUAUUUAUUUGAAUUAUAUCUAUUUUGUUCAAGUUAAAAUACUAAAUAUAAAUUGGAGGUAGACAUUUUAACAGAUCAUCUAAGCUCUCAAAUCUGAAAUUUUGUGUAGAUUUAAAUUCAUAAUUUUAGUUAAUUUUCAUUCAUUCAUAUAAACAAAUUUAUGAGAUUUUUCUUUUCAGCAUGUUAUAUUUUGAAACUUUCAAUGUAUUAUUCUAGCUUUAUUUAAACAAUUAAUUUAUUUAAUUUUGAAUUUGAUCAGUAGUAAAAUUAUUUUUAUAUCAAAUUUUUUUUAUUUAAAUAGUUCGUGGAUUGGACAAAAUUAAAAAAUUUUAAUCUACAAAAUGGUGGAUUAGAUAUGAAUUGGGUUAAAUCCACAUUCGAUUUGCAGUCGUAUGAAUUUGAUUUGGAUUGAAUUUCAUCAAUCCAUGGAUUAGAUUGGAUUGAAAAUUUAUUAUCCGCAAAAUCGUGGAUCGAAUAUGGACUGAUGUCCAAUCAGCAAAAUCCGAUCCCCGAACACGCCUCUAUCAAAAUUUUCAAGAAUAUGUUUUAUCUUACAAAUUUUUUUUUAAAGUCAUAAUCUAAUGGCAGCCCAAUUUUAUAAAGUCACACACAACCAUUCUUAUUAAAUUAGAAAGAUCAAACACUGCACUGGAUCUUGAACAGAUCAACACAAGUUGCACAACUUGCGAUUGAAUCCGGCCUGAAACAAUCAACUCUUUAGCAAGAACAAUUAAUCAGAGUCAAGAAACAAGUUUAAUGAAUAUAAACCUAUAAUUGAAACAAACAUAGCAAAGAAAAAAAAUACAGAUUUUACACGGUUCAGUUGUACCUAGGAUGGCACAACCUACACCACGAGAGAAGCUUUCUGGUGAGAUUUUAUUGAUGAUCAAAGAAGAAUCUUUUGACAAAGCUAAUAAUAGAGAUUUCAGAGAAUAAGCUAUAACCUCUCUCCCUCUUCAAUCUCUCUCUAUUUUGUUCCCAUUGAUGACCCCAAUCUGCUUAGUUAGCCAGCUUUAUAGCUGCAUCAGUAACAAACCAGCAAACCCAGAUUGAGCAGAUUGACGACACGUGGAUAACGGCUUUAACGAACCUGGUUAAGAACUGCUCACAUGUUCGUCACGCGUACUGCUUAAAUGAUGGCCAAAACGACUUCAAACAAAUGUCGUUUUGAGGCUUAUGAAUUACAAGUGAUAACACGAGAUUGUCUCAUGACUUUUAAAUGCAACAACGUGCCCAAAACGCUGUCGUUUUACUCUGUUGAGUUUGAUUCAUUACUAAGCUUUACGACUGGCAAUGGAGAAGAUGAUAAUUUAAUUGAUAUGGACAGUUUUUAUAUCACUUUUACAAAAUCCUAUGCAAUUGUAAUAUUGGGAAUUAUUGAUGUUUUAUAUGUGAAUCCUCAUUGGCAAAAACUAGUGGUUUUAUCUUUGUUGAAAUGUAGAUUACCUCUCGUUACUAUUUUAUUAUAAACAUAUAGUUUCGUAAGUGAAACUAUAUAUUUAUAAUAAAAUUAACAUAUAGUUUCGUUACAUUUCUGCCUCAUUAAGAUUCUCAAAUACCAGUCAGGUUUGCUUAAGAAAUAAAAUUUUUCCAUUAAAAUUGCAGUAGUAUUUCCAAGCAUAUCGCAUUUUCUAUGAUUUUUCAUAAAUUAAUUAAUCUGCGGUGCCAAUAUCAGAUUUAGUUUUUCAAACUAAAUAAUCAAGAAAGCAAACAUACAAAUAUACAGUUUAGAGGGGUAAACUAGGUAGGUGGUUUAGAUUUUAGAACUAAGCCAGCUACCUCACUAAAUUCCGAUUCGUACAGUGAACUGCAAGAAAUUGAGAAAACAAUGUAUUUAUAAUUUAAUAGAAUCAUAAGAAAACAAUGUAGUCAUUGCUCAAUAUAAGAUGAUUUCGGAGAGGCACAUUGUUUUCAAGUUAAUUUGAACCGUUUAUAAGAGAUGAAGUGGAAUGAAGUUGAAAGUUUAAAUAACAAAUCCUUGUUCUUGAGUUUUACGACGUCGUUACUCCUUCAAGUGGCAGAUUAUGCAAGUGAAUGCAGAAACACAAUGCAUCAUCCGCGGGGAUGAUACAUCAAAAGGCGGGGUUUGUUUAUGCCUGCAGAUUAGCAAUUUCACUCAUAUCGAAAAUUAAUUUUUUAUAUAUACUAAUCAACACUAAAUUGAUUAUGUGUUGUAUGUUUAUAUGCUAAUCAACACGAAAUUAUAUUGAAUUAUUAACAUUCAUAUUCCUAAUAAAAAUUAUUUUCCAUCAGUAUUCAAAAUUUUCACUUAUAGAAAAUGCGUUUUACGUGAAUACUAGUUAUUGUGUAAAUUUGAAUGAUAGCGAAAAAUAAACCUAUUUGAAAACUGUAAGGGUGUGUUGGGAUAUUUUACAACUGUCGGAAUCUGGUAGGAUAUUGCACCAUUUGCCCAAUAUUUUUAGACGUACUCCAACCGGUAUUCAAGAUAAGUAAAAUUUACAAGCGUGGCAAAAUAAAAAAAAUUAAAUUCGUAAUUUGUAAACGAAUUUUCCUGACAUGUAUAGUAGAUGAAGUUGUUGACCCUUUCUUUGGAUUAUUUCAGCUCUGGUUGUUGGUCACCGAUGAGCCGAAGUCUUAUUUUAAUUCUAUUUAAACUCAUCAUAAGAUUCGUGGAGCACCUAACUAACUUAACUGACUGUGCAGAGCAUCUCAACAUGGCAAAUUUAACCAUCAUUCAAGUGAUGGGUUUAAUAAGACUGCUUUUGUUCUACCAAGUUCCUCCGCCUCUAAGCAGAAUUACUAUUGAAGGGCCAAAUGGAAAAUGAAAACGUGUGAACAACAACAACCACCCCACAAAUUCAAUGACGAUGCUCGGAGAGGGUUAGGUUGGGCCUCUGAGAAAAAAAAAAAUUAUUUAGUUAAAAAGUUACCCUUAUUGAAACCUGUAUAAAAAUUUUAUAUUAAUUAGUUAUGUUGCCUCUUCAACUAUGAUCAAAUUUUUAUCUGAGCUCAUCAUUUAAUGAGUAAACAUGUAUUUUAAUGAUCUCAAUUAAUAUUUAGAACAAAUAUUUUAAGAAGUAAAGCUCAUUAUAUCCCCCAUUAUUAUGUAUCUCUGUAAUGUAUUGAAUUAGAAGAAAAAAAAAAUUCAACUCACUCAAAAAAAAAAAAAUGCUGGUAGCUUCGUAAUAAUUACUGUCUUGACUGCACCAGAUAAAGUUUUGUAAAAGAAUUCUGAUAUUUACCCCGGGUCAAACCCCGAAAAUAACUUAAACGGUGUCGUUUUGAUUUUUUUUUUUUUUAUACUCCAAAACGUUCUUACCAUUUCCGUUUCACUUACCAUUUAAUGCUCACAACUCAAAUAAAAAGCCCAGAAACUAGAAUCAAACUUUACAGAAACUAGAAUGCCCAGAAACGUUGUAUAGCAGGAACGUAUGUAAAGAGAGUAAACAAGAGGGAUUAAACAGAACAUACGUUUUCUUCACUUAUUAUUAGCAACAAACACCCUACACAACACACAUUUAAUGCUCACAACUCAAAUAAAAAGCCCAGAAACUAGAAUCAAACUUUACAGAAACUAGAAUCAAACAAUACACAUUUCAUUUCUUCAAGGUUAGGGAGAGACUCAGGGGAGUGAUUAAUUAACAAAAAUAAGAAUAAUAAUACCAACAUUUGUACAGGUCAAAUAAGAAUAAUAAUACUCAACCUAAUACCCAGUAUAUACAAACAAAUGCCCAGGCCAUCGUUCCUAUUUUGCCAUAACCUAAAGAGGAAAAAGCGAAGCACUACCUCAGGCUGUGAACUUUGCCGCUUCGUGAGUUUAAUUUCCCGAACAAGUUUCGGCUACCAGCGUUACCAGUGUUGACGGUGACCGUGGCUGUCAGCGUUGACGGUGACCGUUGGUGGAUCCCGAAUGCCUGGACCUUGGUCGAGGAAGGAAAGUAACGAAUUUUUUGAACAAACGAAGAAACGAAGCACCGAAGAGAUUUACGGUCAAACGGAACAAGACCAACUUGCUCUUCUAUCUAUGGCUUUCCCAGUUGAAACGAAGAAACGAAGAGGAAGAGGUUUAAUUCUUCUCAAAAUCGUCCAUCAGAAACGGCAACGUUUUGGAGUAUAAAAAAAGAAAAAAAAAUCAAAACGACGCCGUUUAAGUUAUUUUUCGAGUUUGACCCAGGACAAACAUCAUUUUCCUUUGUAAAAUAAUAAGUUCUCAUUAGUGGUUUUUAAUUUUUAAUUUUUUUUUCGGCACACCUGAUCAAGAAUUCUAUUUUGUUAACUAAUAAAUUGCAAAGCAUAAGUGUUGAACGGUACAAAAAAAUUUGAAAAAAAAACACUUAAAACGUAGGGAAAUGAGAAAUAUAGAAAGAAAGGAAGAAAGUUAAGACAUGAAACUGAUCUGCCGUGAAAUUGAUAAUCAUGUUUCUAUUUCGUUAACUAAUCAAACGGAAAACUGGAACUGUAAACAAACAUUAACACGUGUGGACUCUGCUAGCUGCCCUACAAGUCUACAAUAAUAAUUGAGUACCUUUGAUUCAUCCUUCUAUGAAUUUCUAGCUGUAUUGACCCCAACUGCUAAAGUUUUGUAAAAUUAAAAAAAAAAAAAAAAAAAAAAACUGGAAUUUCAACAAAAUUCAAAACGUGAGAAAUUUAAUUUUUGGCCAUGUGGAACAAAAUGUAAAUUACGGAAAAAGUAUAAAUCUCAAUUGCUUAGUAUGGUUAGGUUUUGUGAGCAUCACUAGAAAGUGAAAACUAUGAAUGAUAGGGGUGAUGUUUGCAACAUGAAUAAACGAUGAACUGAUUCAAUUGAUGAUCGUAAUUAUAUAAUGAGCAAAAUUUACAAAAUCAACAAAAGUUAAUAAAAAUUUAUUUUAAUAAUAAAACUUAUUAUUUAACGGCGCUCUAACCAUGGAGUACCAUAAUCAUAUUCUUCUUUUAAGAAAAUUAUAACUUAUUUCAAAUAGCACCAUAACAUAAUUCUAGAUAUUUAAAAGAAAAGCAUUAUUCACCUGAAAUGACUUGGAAGUCUAAAGAAAAAGAGGGAGUGGCUCCCCACAAUUUUCUUGUUUUCAGUAUAUUUUCUUUUUAAAAUCUUUUGACUCAUACAUAAUCUACCCUCGUUCAUUAUCUCUAUUUUGCUCUGUUCAAGUCCCUUUUUUUUCAAAUCUUAGUUUAAAUAAGAAAAUUGAAUAAAAGUACAUUUGUGUAAUUAAUUAGUAUCUGCGGGGGAUAUUUGGUGUAAUGUUUUGCUAUGUAAGACUCAGCUAUUAUUAAAUAGUUCCUUAACCUGUUUCGCAGUUUAUUUGCUAUCUUUGUGGAUCUCAUAGGCGUUGCAGAAUUUAAUAAUUUUAUUCGUCAGAAGAAUAGGAUAUUGGCUUCAAUAAAUUUAAUUUAAACCAACUUUUAUUUACUCCAUCAAUUAAUUAAUGCCAUUUGGUUUUGAAAAAUUCAAUAAUUAAAUUCUCACGUUUCAUGUGUUUGAAGUUAAAUUAUUCAUGGGUAAUUAUCACAAACCUCCCCUGAAGUUUGAUGUAUUAUCAAUUUGAUAGAUUGUAUUCGCGUAUUCUCAGCCACCUCCCCUUAAGUUAGUACACCGUUUAGUAUAAGUUUAGUGAGUGAGGGCAAGAUAGUAAUAGAACUCGUUAAUAAUAAAAAAUUCAAACAAACUUAAAAAUAUCAAAUUGGAUUCUGAAAUUGAUUUGAAUUUUGUUAAUAUUCCAAUGGGUAAAAACAAAAACAUGAUUUUAACCAACAGACAAUAUUAUAACAAAAAAAUGAGAAAGGAAAAUGGCAUCUUCUUGCUCCAUUCAGACAAGAGCUAACAAGAACAACGCCCCUUUCAUCUCUACUAUACUUUAAUAGAAAAAGGGUGCCACGAUCGGGAGACCAUGACGAUGAACUCGAAGACGCCGAUAGCAGGGACGACCGAAUCACGAACGCCAGGUGGAAGAAUGUUGACCAGUGAGUUUCCAUGUUGACCCACAGACAACCUCAGUUUGUUCGAGCCGCGAAUGAGGUAUGAAAAUGCUUAUUACUGUGCAUGUCAGUUUUAUUAGAUGGAAUUAAUCAAUUUGGUAAAAAUGAGUAAUGGGUCUCGACAAUUUUUUGAGAGUAUCUAUGUUGCUUCCAUUGUUUUCCAUCGAUUGGGUUAGUUGUAGGUUAAUGAUUGUUGUAAAUGCAUGUUCACCUGAUUUUGAUUGAAGAUGGCUUCAGCUACAUUAUGCUGCCUUGUGAAUGAUUGAAGAUGGGUAUGAAAAUUUUUUAAUUGUUUAAGCUAUUGCCACUGAUUGUUUGGAUUCAUGCUAGUUUUUAUUAAAUUACAGAUGUAAUUAAGUGUUGGAGAUUCCUUGUGCCGCAAUAUUAAUAUUUUGAGGAUACUUGAUUUUGUUUUUUUUUCUUUUUAUCACGAUAUGUACAUGUCUUGGUUGAAAAAAUGUCAUGAUUUGCUGCAUUCUCUCACACUGGAGCAGUGAGUUUAGUGGUUUUAAUUCUUUUCUUCUCUUUGACUAUGGCUCUACUUCACUGCAUUCAGAUGUCUUUAUUUGUCCAGCGUCAAAUGAUAAAGGAACAUAGUCUCCUUUUGAUUUCAGUUUGUCUUUCUGUUUUGCAGCCAAGAGGUUCUAACUACCAUCGAGAGUGAAAGGCUCUCCAAGUCAAGGCACAUAGCUCCUGCUGCUCUUGUUACUUUCCCUGAAGAUUUUGAUAAUGGGCUGGUGAUUAUUUAGUUUGGUUUCAAAUUAUGUUCUCGACAUUGUAUUUUGAAAUAUUUGGUUGGUGAGAUAAAGUUUAUUAUUAUAUCUCUAAUAUGUGAGAUGGGAUAUUUCAAGAUGGUAUUUUGGUUACAAUGUUUUAUUUGGUAUUUACAAUGUAAUCACAGCUCUUGGCGCUAAAACGGAUAUGACUAGCCAACAAUUCUUUGAUUUGUGUGAACGAAGUAUUUUUUUUCAACACAAGGGUAUUUUGGUCAUUUUGUCAAGUAACAAACAGUCAACUAAAUGGUAUACUAACGUUAGGGGAGGUGGCUGAGAAUACACAAAUACAAUCUAUCAAACUGAGAAUACGCUAAACCUCAAGGGAGGUUUCUGAUAAUUACCCAAUUAUUCAUUAACUAGAACUCUGUUCAAAAUUGACUGUCUUGUGGUUCCCAAAUGUAGUUGUAAUAUUGAAUGAAGGUAAAAACUUUCUAUGCGAGUUUAAAUCUAAAUCUGGACAAUGAAUUUUGACUUUCUCAAUGCUAUCCUAAUUACAAAAAUUAUAUUAAUUGAUUUAUUGUUACAGUUACUAGCCUUUUAAAAUGGAUGAAUUUAUUGUUUCCGUGACCAAAUUAUGCCUGCCUAACGGUGCAACUAUUAAAAAAACUAAUAUUUAAUGCAUAUGUUAAAAGAUUUAAAAUUUUAUGCAUUUAUUAAUUGUUAUAAUCUAAAAAAAAAUAAUUAAUUCAGGUCAAUCUGAGUUGGUGCAUCUGCAGGAGCCUUUUUUUUAAAUUUUUUUCCCCUUAUUGACCAUAAUGACAUCUCCUUCAACAUGACUAUUGACUAGGAGCAUGUAAAAACAUGGAAACAGAAUUUCCACAAAAAUGUCAAACGUGUGGAACUUAAUUUUUGGCCAUGGGGAACAAAUGCAAAUGAAAGAAAAAGGAAAAGACGCCUCUAAGAUUUGUUUCAAUGGUUUACAUUGACUCUUUAAUUUAAUUUAUAGUAACACAAUUUUUUUUUGUACAAAUAUAUAUUAUUCAUGUUUUGUAUUAUUUUUUAACAUCAUAUUUUUAUUUAUUAUAAAUAUUUAAAAUUAAUUUUUAGGUUGAUAUUUAAUAAAAGGGUAUAAUCGUUCUAUCCAUUUCUCAUCUCGCGAUCUCUCUCAAUUAUCCUUUAUUGAUAUCUCAAAGCGCGUUGCUGUGGAAAAUUGUAGCAAAAUGAAAAAUUGGAAAGAAAGGGAAGAAAAUUAUUGCUUGGAGAAAACAACCAAAUAAGUCAACUGGUCUUUAGUGAGAACAUAUCAUUUGUUUUGAUAUUGAAGGACCUACUUCUCUGCCGCGAUGUAGAAUAUGUGAAAGGAGUUGUCUACUGCUCUUUAGGUCAUAAUAAUGUGAUUGGUGCAUUCAACGUUGCCCCGAAACACUGGAAAGUACUUCCAUAUCCUCCGAAUGAGAACUGAUUUAUAUAUGAUUUCCUAAUUGACUCAGGAUCAGAUGACAACAACAACUUAUUAAUAGUUAUAUCAAAACGGCAGAAGACGUGUUUUGUUUACAGGUUGAUCCAUUUGGAAUGACGUGGUCUCAAGUCGAAAGUAAUUUAUUGCAUGCCUGUCGUCUAAAGCAUUACCUCACAAGGUUAUAUCAAAGGGUGUUUUACCUCAUCACGUCUUCAAGUAGAGGAUGAAGUCAGCCACUCGGCCUUUGGCCGAGUGGUGAGAGCUGCUCUCCAAUUUGGAGAGCAGCAGUUCGAACCCCCACAAUGUAUUGUGGGGGUCUUCCUUUCUUCAAUUAAAUUUGAGUGAAGGCAGUCUGUUUUUUUACCCAAGUGUGAGUAGCAGACAUCCCUUGAAAGUGUGAGUAGCAGACAUCCCUUGAAAGGAAUGAAGUUAUAGUCUGAUUUGUAAAUAUCAGUUAUAUUCUCAUGUAAUAUGAGUUGUAGUUUGAGCAAUAGUCUCAUGUAAUCAAAAAAAAAAAAAAAAAAAGUAGAGGAUGAAGUCUAUGCAAGUGAAUUCAGGAAUAUUGCAUGCCUGUCGUCUAAAGCAUUACCUCACAAGGUUUUAUGAGAGACGAAAGAUGUGUUUGCUUUGAACAAUUAAAGUUACUGCUACGGACCUCCCCAAAGGUCAAGAAGACAGAACAGGAAGCUAAUGCCAUCAAUGUCUUGUUCAUUAUAGCUGCUGGGUAGUUAGGUGUAGUUUCCUCAUUUGAAGCUGUCUAUACAUAGGCAUUUCCCCUGCUUAUGUACAAAUAAAUGAACAACCUUGAAGCUUUAUUAUUCGCAACAAAAAGGGAUUACUAAUUGGAGAAGACUAUACAGAGUUUCUCUCACACUUUCUCUCUGUCAAUUUCAUCCAGAAGGUCCCUCUGAAAGCUUCUCCCAAAACAGUUAGUCAUCUUUUAUGCUCUGUUUUCUGAAAGCAGAGUCCUAACUAAAUUAAUUGACUGUACAGUGCAUUUCAACAUAGCAUAUUUAACCGUUUUAACAGUUAUUUGGACCGUCUUCAGAGCUAACAUCAACAAACUCAUUCAUAUGCUUAAUAAUGAACGAAUAGUCUUGGAUCGAUGUUUUGCAGCAAGAGCAACUCGACACAAUCUGGAUUCAACCUCCUCCUUUCUAACAGGGGAUUUCGAUUUGAGUUACUUUGUGCUCAAGCAAAUUCACAUCAUAGUUUUGAUUCUUUAGAUAUGAAUUCAUCACAUUACAUGUAUCAGAUUAAGUGUAACAAAAUUUGUAAUUUACUGCGAAAGAAUAUGCACUAAAAAAUGAUUUCAAGACUAUUUGACUAUAAAAAGCAGCUGUCAGAGUGCACUAAAAAUUUCUGUAGGAUAUUUUGUAGCUGUUUAAUAUGUUAUGAUGGGCAUAUAAUUCUCAAAUUUUGAUGCCUCUCAGUGAAAAAUAUAUCAAAGUUUAGAUUAUGUGUUCGAGCUUUAAUAAAUGGUCGGAAAAAAAGCUGCUGUCAGAGUGCACUGAGUUAAUAAUAAUAACAACAAUAAUAAUAAACUAAAAAGCAGAAUUAAUUACUAUUGAAUGGUCGGAAAAAAAAUUGAAAACGUGUGAACUCCAAUAAUCACCCCACAAAUUCAGUGGCGAAUUUUGGCGAGGGCAAGGCCGGGCUUCUCAGAAAAAAAAUUAUUUAGUUACAAAAUUAUCUUUAUUGAAACCUAUAUAAAUUUUUUUUAUAUUAAUUAGUUAUGUUAUCUCUUCAAUUUGGUGAAUAAAUGUGUGUCUAAAUAAUUUCAAAUAACAUUUAGAACAAAUGUUUUGAGAGGUAAAGCUUAUUUUGUCUCGCAUUAUUAGGUGCAUCUAUAAUUUCUUAUUUACAAAAUUAUAUUGUACGAUAAAAAUGUAUUGAAUUAGGGGGAAAAAAGGUCAGCUCACUCAAAAACAACAAAUGGUAUUAGCUUCGCCACUGCACAAAUCUAGAAUAAUAAUGAUUCCUUAUCAUGCUGGGGGAUCCUUUACUUUCUAGCCGUAUUGACUGCACCAGGUAAAGCUUUGUAAAAUAAUAAGUUACUCAUUAGUGGUUUUUAAUCUUUUUAAUUCUUUUUACCGCACACCUGAUCGAGAAUUUUAUUUUGUUAACUAAUCAAUUGCAACGCAUAUACCGCACACAAGAUUGGAAAAAAAAAUCUUAAAAAACGUGCGGAUUCGGUAGCCACACCAGAAAUCUAUUACAAUAAUUCCUGGCCGUAUUGAAGUUUUUAAAAUAACAAGUUCCCCUUCUUGUUUUUUUUUUUUAAAUAUAUAAGCUUAUAACAAUUUUAGAAUAAUGACUCAUUUGUAGAAGAAUUUAUGAUUUCAUAUUAAUAUUAAUAUUGAAGUGGGGUGGGUCAAAUCUCAAUUGCUUGAAGAAUUUAUUUAUUAUUAUUAAUAUUAUUAAUAUUGAAGUGGGGUGGGUAACGGAUAAGCGGUUCACUCAGUUCGUGGCGAAUUAAAUAUUACCAUCCAAGGUAGAAUUGUGGAAAAUUAAAGCAAAAUGACAAGUAUGGAAAGGAAGGCUGAAAGUAAGGCAUGACGAAAGGCUUUGAGAAGGCUGAAGACUACCAAAGAAGACAACUGAAAGAGAGAAUGUGUGUUUUUUAAUAGUUAGAGAUAUAGCUAGAGUGGGUGGCUCAAAAUCCAAAAUGGUGACAAUGUUAGUUCUCGUAUUGGUAAUCUUGGGGGGGGGGGGGGGGGGGGGAACUCAGGGGAGGUCGAGUGAGGGAUGUUUGGAGCAUGAGAAAUUUGAUCUUUUGCGGCUUAAACAUUUCUUCAAUUCCCCUUAUACACUUCAAAACUGGGUAGGUGAACAAAGGGAAAGGGUUGAGUGCAGCAACUCCACAGGCCGCGUGGUACAACUACACCUUGGUCUUACUAUAUCGAUCUGGGAGAGUGGUAUCUGAAUGCUUCUAUAUUUACUUCCUUUCAACAACUUGGUAACAAAAUAGCCGGCUGCAUGCGUUGAGAAUGAAGGUCCUUCAUUUAAUUUAAUUUACUUAAUUUCUCCCUCCUAAUUAAUGUCUAUAACCAUUAGGAGGAACAAGGGAUUUUAUUAACUCAAAUAUAUCUAAUGGAGCUCAUUCUUUGGUUUUACUUGCAGGUCUAGAAGUAGGUGUCAUCUAACAGCUGCUUUAAUAAUUUCCCACCCCUUCAUCUUUGAUGGAAAGAUGAAAUAAAAACAAAAUGGUGAAAAUGGUAUUGGUACCUGAGGCUAUGUAAUCUAAUUCAAAAACUGCACCAUCAAAACGAUUACAUAAGUCUCAGAAGAAUCAAACAUCAGUUUGCAAAAUAUCAAUUGCUGGAGGUUUGAUUCUAACUUCCGCUCUUCAUUUUUAUGGGCAUGUUGUGUUGUACUUGCAUCAGAAAAUCAUAUUUUAGUUUAUUUACACUCAACGCUUGGAUUAAAGUUUUAGAGGGGGGGAUUGAAGAAGACUAGAAUGACACAAAAGAAAGAGUUGAGCGAGUGCCGCUUUUGUCGUCAUUUAAGGAGCUCUUUAUAAAUUUUAGGAUUUUUUUCCUGAGAAAAUUUAUGCCAACUCAUUCUUUGCUUCUUUUCUGAAGGGAUAGAUGCAACCGAAACUAUAUUCUUGAAUUAUCCAGGAUAAGAGACAUACGUUUAGAUUCUCGAGCCUUUAAAACAAUAUCAAAUUUUAGAUUGCCGAAAUUUUAUAUUGCCGAGUAUGAUGGUGUUCCAAUUAUAAGCUCCAGGGUGCAACUUCACUGAGGUUUAGAAUGCCUUCCUAUAGAAUUGAGAAAUCUCCAUUGGCAUAAAUAUCUUUUGAAAAUACUGCCAUCAGAUUUUGAAUUGGAGAACCUGAUUAAACUCAGCUUGCCUUCUAGUAAGGUUAAGCAAAUUUGGAAAAGAGAAAAGGUAUAAUGUAUUACUAUUACCAAAGUAUCUAUUUUUCUUUCUUUAAGUAUUUAUAAUGAAUAACUUUGAAAUUCAAUGAUGGUCAUUUAAUAUAGUUAUGUAUCUUUCAUUAUAGGAUGCUCUCAAGUUAAAAUUUAUAGACCUUCUCCCCCUGUAUCUUGAUAGGAUCCCAGAAAUCCUAAAUCUUAAGAAAAUAAAUCUUUCAAAUUGUGAAAGCAUGCUUACAUUACCCCCGUAUAUCCACAAUUUCAACCAGCUCAGUAUGUUGUGUUUCAUGGGAUGCAAAAUUCAUUUUGUUGCUCAUGAAAGAAUUGACUUGUCCGGAUGUAUUAAUUUUGCAGAUUUUCCACAGAUUAUGGGAAUAUAACAAAGCUAGACUUAAGCGAGACCCCAAUAAAAGAAGUUCCCUCAUCAAUAGAGUGCCUAGCUGAUCUGAAAACGUAGCGUUCGAGUAAGUGCACGAGGCUGAAGAGGCUUUCCAACAAGCAUUUGUAAAUUGAAAUCUCUUCUUGAGUUUUAUCUUUAUAACUACUCAAACCUUGAAUGUUUUCCAGAAAUCAUGGAGAAAAUGGAACGUUGAAAGAUAUAAAUCUAGCAAGGACGGCCAAUUACAGAGCUACAAUCGUGAUGGUCUUCUGGAUAACAUUAGCAAUUUAAAAUCUUUGAGGUACAUCUCGGCUAAUGGAUCGGCCAUUAGUCCUCUGUCGGAGAUUUGGCUGUACUUAAAUAUCUAUUGUUUUCUCGAUGCAGAGGUUUUGUAUCAUUGCCUCCAAUAUUAUUUUCAGGUUCAGGUUUAUCGAAUUUCGUACAACUAACUUUAAGAGACUCUGCUGUAGUGGAAAUUCCCCAAAACAUUGUUUGGCAAUCCUCAUUGAAAAUUUUAAAUCUAAAGGCUUGUUUGUUAACUACUUGAAGUAUGAAACUAAUGAUUUUUUUUAAUUUAUAUUUGAUUUUGAGAUAUUUGUAUCGGAAUUAAAAAAAUGAACUUUUGUGACAUUUAUCUAAAUAAAAAAAAGCUUAAUGAGAAGUAAAUAAUCCCCUUUUUCGUUUUGACUUACAAAAACAUAAUGUUAACUAACCAUGUUUAAGAUAUUUUUUAUUUAUAAAAACAAAUUAGAUGCUACUUAUAUUUAUUAUCGAAAAUUGAAAAACAAACAUGUUAUUCAUACAUUUAUAUUCAAACUUAUUCAGUCUUCAGCUAAAUACAGAUACAUUUAGAUUUCAGAGAAAAAAAUAAAUACUUCCUAAGUGGGAAUAACUUUGAGAGUUUACUUGCAAAUGUCAAGCAACUUGCAAGGCUAGAAUAUCUUGACUUGAACGGUUGCAAUAUGCUUCAGUCAUUAACAGAGCUUCCAUUGUUUCUAUAUUUUUCAGAAGUAAGGAAUUGCAAGCGCUCCAAUCUUUGCCAGAGCAUAGAUUUCAUGUUUACCAAUUGCCUGAAACUGAAUGAAAACGCAAACAACAGCAGUUUGGCAGAUUCAGAACAAAGGACUCAACAUAUGGCAAAUGCACCACUGAGACUAUUCCAUGAAAAGGUACCCCUACUCACUUUCUCUGUCCAAUCUUUGCAUCUGAUCAUCUGGGAUUCAAAUCCUCUACUCAUCUUGCUACUUGGCCUGCCAUUUUAACAUCCACUGACUGGUCGUUACCAAAAAUCAAAAACAGUAAAAUGAUACAUCUAAACCAUGCAUACAUAACCAAUAAUGUAUAUGUGUUGCAAGACUUUAGAAAGGCAAGAUGAGUAGAGUAUCGGCUUUGGUCUAAAAUUGUGGUUUUUAUAUGACAGCAGAAGCCUCAGGUACAACGUCAUGUCAGCAUUUGUUUACCUGGAAGUGAAAUUGCUGACUGGUUUAGCAAACAAGGUUUUGGAUCUUCAAGAACUAUCCAACUUCCACCACAUUGUUGGAACAGAAACUUAAUCAAAUUUGCUCUUUGUGUUGUUAUUGAACUUGAGGAAGGUUUUGAUGCUAAUGUUGAUGAAUUUUUUGUCCACUGUUUCUGCCAUUUUGAGAUAAGGGAUACUCCCUCUGAAACUAAACAUGAUCACUUUUGCGUUAUGAAAGCCGUAAACGUCCAUUGACUCGGAUCAUAUCAUAUUUGGAUUUCAUCCCUGUUGGAAUGUUGAGUGCAUUUAAGUCCAACCCUGUUACUAUAAAGUUUUUUGCCAACAGUGAAGAGGAAUGCACUCAAAGUGUUCCUCAAAUCUGAAAAAGAUGAAUUGGAACCGACUCCCAAGAGAAUUUAAAGAAAGCAAGUUGGUUUCUCAAGUUCUGAUUUCUUAUCUAAGUCCAACUCUCCAAUUACACUUUCUAUUUAUUUAUCAUUGUGCUUUAUCAUCAUCAAUAUUAAUAUUAAUAAAAUAAAAAGCAGUUGAGAGCCAAAUAAAGCCACUUGAAAAUCACUCAGUCACGCUUUUGGGACAUCAUUCUGCUCAUUACUUUUAAUCUGUAUCUCCGUUGUUUUAUUUGGUAUUUAUUACCAUUAGCAAAUAAAGGGAUUAGUUGAUUAUUGUGAGCUCACUAGAUGGAGCUCACCCUUAAAUGUCGGCUUGUACCAAGGAGGUGCCUUAGGGUUAAUAAACCAACUAAUCCCAUAAUUUAUUGAUGUAGGGUCCUAACAAAUUAUUGCAGUAGGUCAGUACACAGCUCGAAAACGUAUUUGAUCCAUACAUUGAAGAUGAUUCAAUAUUAAGCAUGUCAUAUAAUCUGGAAUAGGAUAUUGGACCAAUUUGAUGAUAAUGACUUUCUUUCAAUCUCAAUCUUUAUCUUCUUCGCAAUAUGACUAGCCAUUGCAAACUCAAACUCUGACAAUGAUUUCUCAAUCGCUUUCUAAGAUAUUGAGCAGGUAUGUAUAUGUAUGUGUGUAUGUGUGUGUGUGUGUGUGUGUGUGUGUGUGUGUGUGUUUGUGUAUAUAUAUAUAUAGAGAGAGAUCACGAGUGUGUGAUUUCCUUUUGCCAAUAAGGUAUGCAGAGACCUUGAUGUUACCCAAUAGCAAAAAAGCUUCCUAAUAAGUGAAGGUAUAGUCUAAAUACUUACACUCUCAUAUUAUUUUGUUCAUCAGCAGUUUGAUUAUUUUAUAUGCAUCUUUGAUUUUAGUUUUCUUUCCCUAUAAUUGCUAUUAUCUUUGAACUGGUCAAGAUUUGCCUAUAAGAUUUCUCAUGUUGAUUUUAGGUGCAAUGGAUUUUGAAUUUAGUGCAGGUGCAGAAGCUCGAAGGCAAAUUAUGAAAAAGGAUAAAGAUCUAUAAUUAGCGGUUAUGGGAUGUCAUAUAUCAUAUGGAUGGUAAUGGGGUCGGAUCACGAGUCCAUUAAUAAUCAUAGAUUGGCUUAUAUAUUUCAAACAAUGUACCAUGAAGUAAUUUCACAAGCACUUGUUAGUCUAUGUUGAGCUUUAUUGAAUCAGUAGUUCACAGUUCAAUACAAUGCAGGUUUACUAUUUGAAGUAAAUGCUUAUGGUGUGCAUUCUUCAUAAAACUAACUACUGAAUUUUUCGUUGAAACUUGCAGAAUGUAACAGAGAGAUGCAGAUAGCAGCCACAAAACACUAAGAUUGAAAAUCAGGACUACUAAAUUCUAUUACAAGCCCUUAGAAUAGACAACGAUCAUCCUCGAAUGUAUAUACUGAAAGUAAGAAAUAUUAAUCGUAAAGUUAUGCAUCAACAGAACUAUUAACUACUUAUCUUUAGCAGAAGAUUUAUAUUUUUAGUUGCAGCUCUCUACUUUGUUCGAAGAAUUAGGCAAAAGUGGCAUAUCUCCAAUCCAAUCAGCAUAUAUACCGCUCAUCUUCUCCAGUUCUUUCCGCUUUGAUUUGCACUCAUACCCUGCACUUGCUGCUUAGAAAUAGUCAUAGUUUGCACAUUGACAGUAGAAAAAGUACUUGAAACAGUCGUUGGCACAGCAUGAGAUUCCAUUGAGUCAUGGUCUCCAAGCUUUCGUAGUUCUGCAAAGAAAAUGACAAAACAUCAUGCUAUUGGCAUUCUACUUUUAACAAUUUUCCACAACCUGAGCUAUUUCAUAUCUCUCUAUAAAUUAUGAUCCAUGAGUGGACCACUGACGGAUGCAAGUUUAUUAUCACUUGUAACUGCUGGUUCAACCUUCAGAUAAGUUUGUGAUAAAGGCAUUUACGAGUACAAUGGCAAAAUUACAUGAACUUAUGUUAUCAAUCAUUGUUUUGCCUUCUCAUGAUAGAAUUCAAUGCAACAUAAAACAUUGAUAUAUUUGUACCUUGCCAUGCCGUGUUGUGAACCUAGAAGCAAUGCAAAGUGGAAGGAACAUAUCAAGCUAUCUACUGUAUAUAACAAAUUCUUACUAGCCCACAAUGCUGUGCCGCCACAUUGAUCAAGUAACACUACUAUUUCAUUUCCAAACUGGCAUAUAUAAUCUAAUGUUGAACAAACCAAAUUGGGAAUCAUCAUUCCUUACAUUAAGCUGACAUUCGUACCUGCUAGUCCAUGGGCAAAGUUGCAUAUAUUUUCAUACAGGCAGCUUCCCCUUAUCUCUCAGUUCCAACAGAGAUUUGGUUUCCCAUCACCAGCCUUUGAUUCAUUCGAUCAUAGAUACUCCGAGUUAGCAAGCCCCUUGUUGUGUUCCCAUUGAACAGACCCACUUCUGUUAUCCACAGAAGAUCCACCACUCAAAAUACUUAUCACUGAGCUAUUCCUAAACUGAGUAGAAACUUUCGCACAUCUCUCCGCAUUUACGUUAAGAAAUCGACACCUAUCCUCAUAUUUGCAAGUUUUCUGAUAAUAGAACGGUCUACAAAGCUGCAUUUCGUUAGGCAAUCUAGUCUCUCCAUUCCUCGCAAAGUGACAUUGAUUCCCGUAUUUGUAAUUGCCUAAUUGGGGUUUUGGCAAUAGCCUGAUCUUAAAAUUAGCACCCAUUACUUUGUUCAAAGCCACUGGCAUCCUCAGAUUAGGAACAACAUUUUCAAAUUUUUUAGCCCUGUUAGUCGAAUCACAUUCAACAGGAUAGUGAGGCAGCAUUUCACCAACAGAUUCAAUUUGACUACUCAUAUUGAUGCACAUAUAAGAAUUUGAAAUCACUUUUUCUUGGAAUAUUUAAUGACCAGACGAAAGUUCUUGAAUGGAAAUUAUUUAAUUUGAUUUGAUUUCCAACAAAUUCAAGAAACCCCAGAUAGUAACUAAACAAAAAUCAAACAAUAAUACGCAAUGGGUUUCUUUCUUUUUGCUUUUGGAGGGCCAUGGAGAUCUGGAGUGGGCUGUAAGUAAAUUAUGCCUUCAUCACUGGAAUGACAAAUUUGUAGAAGAUGAUAUAUGGGGAAGGAUUGAAGUAUUGAACAAAUUAAAUUACGUCCAUUGUGAUGAAUUAAAAAUAAAAUAACAAUUUUAACUUUAUAAUAAAAUUUGAUGUUAUCAUUACAUCUUUUAUUAAAAAAUUAAAUUAAUCAAGAAUGAUAUUAUUUUCUUUUAAUGUUAUCAAACUAAUCAACCUAUAAAAAUUAUAAAUUGUGAAGAAUAAAUACAUACACCACUUAAAAUGAUAUUUAUAUCAAAUUACUAGUUUUUAAGUUUUUCUUUUCAGAUGUUGAAAAAGAAAAAACAAACAUGUCAUUUAGAUAUUUUCAUUCAGACCUAUUCAGAUUUAAACUAAAUACAGACCUAUUCAGAUUUCAAAUAAAAAACAAACACAACCUUAGUAUAGCACAGAGCUUUUUUAGUGUAGCAUUUUAUAAGCAGAUUUUUUUUAAAAAAUUAUUAUUUAUUUGGUUGUUUUGCAUAGGAGAGCGUUUAAAGCUCCAAAAUCUUUGAUCAGUCAAUUUUUUUUUUUUUUGUUAGUAAAACUUUCAACAAAAAUUUAUUAUUCAUUUGAUCGUAUAUGAGAGUUUUUAUUAGUAAGUUAUAUAAAGUUCUUUAAUUUUUUUUUUAUUAGUGCAACUUUGUACAAGUACAAUUUUUAUUUUCUAAAAAAAAUUAAUUCAAUAAUAUUAGGAAUUUCAAUAUUUAAAUCCUAAUAUCAUCUGUCACUCAUUUAUUAAAUGACUAAUUUCAUAACUUAUAAAUUUAUUUAACUAACACCCAAUGAGUGAAUAUUACUAUGAUGAAGACUCAAAUUGAAAUUUAGAUGUUAGGUUGCGUAACGUUGCUCUUAUUUGGUUAUUUAUGAGAGCUUUCUUAUACAAACUUAUUUGUAUACAAAUUGAUAUAGUCUAAAUUCAUUAACUAGAUGAAAAUAUAAAAUAAUAAAAAUAAAUCAUAUGUACUAAGAAUUGUUUAAUUCAUCAAAUUGAAUUAUCCUACUUAUGUUUGUACCAAAUAAAUUUAUAUAAGAAUUUAUAAUUCUAUUUUUAAAUGUCCAACUAAAUUUUUAGUCCUUUAUUCUUUGUAAAAUUCAAAUUCAAAUGGCUCAUCAAAUAAAAUUAAAACUAUUGGCUAAUCAAAUAAAAUUAUUUGAAACCAUUGGGUAUGGUAGCUGGACCUCUUGGAACUAUCUAAGCCAUGAAAUUAACAGCGAAAAGAGUUUUAAAUGUCUAUUUUAUAAAUUUUUUAAUUAUUUUUUUAUUUACCAUUUUACCACCCAUAGUGAAAGUGUCUCAUCGACAGUUGAACAGUCAACAUAUCAGUCCUUAGGAAUUUACGUUUGGGGUAUUUUUGUAAUUAUAAGAAGGUAAACUAAUCGCAAAAUUCAUUUGGCUUGAACUUGCUCGCCUUCGCCCUGUGUAUGGUCGUGGCGUUAUCAAUAUCACCUUCUCCACUCGUACUGACACCAAACCUUAACCGUUCAGAUUCCCUUUCUCGAUUGUCAUACCCUAGGCCCCGUCUACGUGUCUCCGAUAAACAGUGCUCAAUUAAGGCCAUCAGAUUAUCCCGGACCCACAUUGAUCCAACGGCUCACAAUGACCGACAACCUCUAUAUCUCCAUUUCAAGCUCCCUUUUCAACUGGCUUCUGCUUCCGUCGUACUCUUUCUCGGAUUCGGAGUCCGUAUUUGCUCGGCCGGUCCCGCACAGCUCCCUCUCGCUCCAAUUGUCACCCAACAAGACCAAUUGCUUAAUCAAGGCACAGACCAAGAAGAGGAUGAGAAAUUGAAACAAGAAUUUGAGAAUUGGAAAUCGAAAACGUACCCAUUUGUGAUAAGGAAUUUAUGCGAAGUAAGGGAAAGAGAUUGAAGUUUCAGAUGAAUUUGUGUGCUAGCAUUGAUGGGAUCGUUAACAAUUUAUCUGUGCCCUUUAACAAAGUUAAGGCUAAGUCAGCUUCUUAUAUGGCUGCUGAUUUGGUUAGUGUUGGUGAUUCAUGGCUCAGCUUUGCGAUUAAAAAGAGAUUGAUUGAGCCAAUAGCUGGAGCUGAAGAUCAAGAUUGGUUCAAAUGCUUAAGUCACAAAUGGAAGGUAACAUCUUUGUCUUUGACCCGAUAAUUUUUAUUGUCUUACAUUGAAAUUUGGUAAUGUGGUUUGUAGUCAUUUUAUUUAUUUGCUUUUAUUUGCACCAACGAAGUCUCAGGUAUAUCUAUGCAGGAAUGAUACAGGAGAAAUUGAUCCUCGAGGUAAAAUAUGGGCGGCACCAUACAGGUGGGGCACAAUGGUGAUAGCCUACAAGAAAAGUAAAUUUCGAAAGCAUAAUUUGGCUCCAAUUGAGGUAAUAAUUGUCUUUAAAUUUUAUAUGAAACAAAAUCAAGACUGCCUUUCUGUUCAAUAUUUUUGAUGAUAAUAUCUUUAGAAGCAUCGCAUUGACGGGUAAUAAUGGUAUCCCUGAAAGAGUCUAUAAACUCAAUGAUAUUAUCUUCUACACAUGGUUUAUUAAACUUCUUCGUUGUAGUCAAAUGUACACUAAGAACAAUGAGAAGCUAUGCUACUGUAGCAUGUAGUGAUGGCGCUUAAUAAGUGAGUUGCUAGGAUGUGAACUAGAAAAAUUAAAUAUUGUCUCCUUGGGUAUGCUAGCUUGUAAGUCAGGGUUAAUAUUAGAAUUUAAGAUACUAUAACCAUGAGAAGCUAUUGACUGCCAAUUAAAAUAUCCAUUAAAAUGUCUAGGGAGUUAAGAAGGUGGAGGUAUCUUCCGAUUUCUAAGGCCACAUAGUAGACAUCAUCCAGGAUCCAAGGAAGGUGCGGUUAAGCUCCUGCUCGGUGCAAUUAAUAAAUUUGGUCAAUGCCACUGAAACCUGCUAACUGAUGUCACAAUGCACCAUGAGCACUUCAAAAUGGGAUAGACGGUCAGUAGCACUAAAUUUUUCUUGCCUAAGAUUGGGCAAUUGGUCUAACUGCUAACCCCUAUUGUAGGUUGAUCAUUAUUUUUUCAAUUAUGUUCAGUUUGACCCAAAAAGUUACAGAAUCUUGAUCUGAAUAUUGUCACCGAACACCGUCAAUGUUGUUUAGCAUAGCCAACUAACUAAAGUUUGGUAAAACAAACACACAUUGUGUCUCAUGUCUCACAAUUCAAAUUAUCAUCUGUAAUGAUGGAGGAUUUUUCUAAUGUAUGAAGUAUGCUUUGAUACGUGGGUUAGCUUGGAGAAGAUAUCUCAAAAUAAAGAACAUGGGGAGCGAAUGGGAAGAAAACAGUUCAGUAGUUUAUUAUUCUGUAGUCAAGUUUUGUCUCAAAAAUGGUCAAAAUUUAAAUGAAUAAGGACAGCGGAUCUUCAUUCUUUUUCCCUUUUUUAUGCCAAGAUAUCUCUCAACCUUUAUAUAAUCCCCACUGGAUAUCUACUUCUAACAAUUAAAAUAAAAAUUUCACCCACACAAAUAAAUACUGACCAAGCUCUAACAAUAAAAAGUAACAUCUUUAGUCAGGUAACCUCUUUACAGUUCCUCAUCAUCUUAGUGUGAGACUAUCAGUACGUUCCAAAAACAUAAUAAAACUGGUUUGAUCCUGUUUAUUGAUGUUUAAAUGUUGUUCAUUGUGACAUGUAGAAAUGAUGAGGCGAAGUUUCUUUGGUCAUCAAUUGGUAAGAUCUUGUUUGAAGUUGUUUUCUGAAAUGAACUGCCAAAUGGUAAUUUUUUUGGGCAUAUGAUGGCUCCUUUUUCCUCAUUUUAAACAUGUGCCUGCAUGGAACGGGAAGGAUUAGGCUGCAGAGUUGUUAUAUAUUUUGACAUGCAAUGGUUAUUACACAAUUUGUUCACACUGGAAAUUAGAAUGAGAAAUUUGUUGAUGCUGUUUUGAGAGAUCCGCAUUCUAUGCGCAUUAACAUGAUUAAUGAAAACAGAUUAUAGGACUGGAAAGAUCUGUGGCGGCCUGAGCUCGCAGGAAGAAUUUCAAUGGUUAAUUCUCCCCGAGAGGUUAUUGGUUCCGUUUUGAAGUAUAUGGGAGCAUCGUACAAUUCAAACAAUAUUGAUUUGCAAGUUGCUGGUGGGAAGAUUUCUGUUCAGCAGAAUCUGGCAUUAUUGGCAAACCAGGUACUCUUAAAGAAAUGAUAUCUGGUCAUUGCAUGUUAUUGCCUGACAACUGAUUUUGUUUGUAAAGUCUGCUUCUUCAUACAUAUGAACGCAUAUGUUAGUGUUUUCCUCUCCUUUUCAUACAUAUGAAUGCAUUUGUUAGUGUUGUCUUUUCCUUUUCAUACAUAUUAAUACAUAUGUUGGCGUUCUCUCCUGAAGAAAUGGCAAGGGAUGUGAGAUUCUGUCUCAUUAAAUUAACAAAAACCCAAAACAAUGAAAACCCAUAAUAAUGUGGUGUGGGUAAAUUGGCGCCAUUUGGUUCGUUUCCUUAAUGUGAAUACGCGAGCAAUAGAGACUAACAAAAUGAAGUGACAACAAGAAGUCAGUGUCGUCUGAUGGAUGCAUUUUUAGGCAGAAAUAGGUUUGUAAUUGACCAAAUUUGUCUGGCAUGCCAAUUUCAAAAAAAUUAAAUCAUGUGAUUAUUAGCUGUAAUGAAGGGAGACAGUAGGUGCAAUCAGGUGGAUCCAGGAAAGUUCAACAAAGUUCUGGUAUGGCGUAGUGAAAUUGGUUGUCCAACUCAAGAGUCUUUCAGGUGAACGAUGAUGGGUUUUGAUUUAUAAAUGUUAUAAAUCUACUAUGAAUAGUAUUCUAGCAGAAUCAUCUGUAAGUUCUAGUUAUUGAAAUUGUCUACUUUGUCCAGUUUGAAUUAAGGGCAAAUGUAAUAUGAAAAAUAGUUGCCGCAUCUUUUAGGUUACCUAACAUUUGAUCAAUCCUAUUAUGUGGGC